rnacentral:lncRNA from 1 species
UAAGAGGGUUUAGAGCUUAUUUUUUUUAUUAAGGUUGCGUUUGAUUCAGGUAUAAGUAUGAAUUGCUUAUUUCAGGAAUAGGUACAAGUUCAGAUAUAAACAGGAAGUCAGGAACUAGACCAAUUUUGCGUUUGGAUGAAAAUUGUGUUGUUCCUAGGAAUAAGGUAAAUAGUAUUUAGAUGGUUAGAUUGGAACAUGGGGAAUAAGAUUUAUAAUUUUAAAUUAAAAUUAUUUUAUCUAAUUAAUUAACAUCAAAAUAUUACUUAAAAAUGAUUUAAUAAAUUAAUAAAUUUAUUAACUAUGAAUAUUGUAUAAGAUAAUGAAAAUAUAUUAAUUAAUUAAUUAAUUAUAAAAAAUUAACUUUUUAAUUAGUUAGUAAAUUAUUUUAGCUAGAUAACUAGUAAAAAAAUUAAUUAGAUUAAUAUAAAUAUUUAUGGUUGAUCAAUAUAAAUAUUAGUUUAUGAAUAAAUAAUUAAAUUAUUAAUAAUUAAUUACACCAUUUUGAUUAUAAUGAAAAUCUCCAUUGUGUCUUCCCUUGCGGACGUAGGCUAGUGGCCAAGCCAUGUAAAUAUUUAUGUUUAAUUUUUUUCUCUUUCUUGAUUCUUCUUUUGGUAUUUUCGUACCCAACGAAUUAGAUCUUUUUCCGCUUUUGUUAUGACAAACUGAUAUCAGAGUAAAUCUGAUAGCAGUGUAAGUGGCAGAUUUCUAACAAACAGGUAUCAGAGCAAAUCUGGUAUCAGUAUAAGUUGCGGAUUUCUAGCAAACUGGUAUCAAAGCAAAUCUGUUAUCUCUUUUUUUGUCUAUCUAUUGCUUCUUGCUUCUCUCUCGCCACCUCUUUCUCUUUCUCCAUGAUAAGUGCUCCGUCUGCGACCUCUUGGAAGGUUUGGAGGUUCGCCGAUUGGACGAGAUGGUGGAUCGAUGGCUUAAUCCUUAAACAUUCUCGCAUUUUUUCUGUCAUCCCUUACCACGUAGUUUAUGCCGUUUAUUAUAGGGAAAAUUUUUUGCUCAUAUUCUGCCAUUGUUUUUCUUUUUUGUUGGAGCUUCCUCAUAUCCUGCUCCAAAUGCCGUUUGACUCUCUCAGAGAAGUACCUUAUGAGCAGCAUCUUUUUGAACUUAUCCCACGAGAUCGUGGACAAGUCCAUGAAGAAGAAUUAGACCAAAAACUAGGAUACAUUUUGGGAGAAUGAAGCGUCCAUGGAAGAGAAGCAAAUGAAACACUUGCAUUACUCCUUUUUCUAGUGAACGUGUCACAGCUGAUUACUCUUUUUUUUUUUUCUUUUUCUUUUUUACAGUUUAAAGAUUGGCAUUCUAUGUCCAAUUACUGGUAGGCUUUCCUCUCUAGGUUGUGGACCACCUGCCACACACGUUCCUCAUCCGGGAUAAAGAUGUUGUGGAAGAUCUUCUCCAUAUGUAUAACCCACUUUUCGACCACCCAUGGGUCGGGUCCUUACCAUCAAACGAUCUUGGCCUGCACAGUCAAAUCCCUCCAAACGGGCAAGAACUUCUUUCCCCUGUGCUUGUCACUGCGGUAGGAAACACCGCCAGAGGUGUCACAUUAACAGGGGUUGGUGGGACGGAGCUCCUCCAGCUCUCUCGUCGAGACCCACACUCGUUGUUGGAGUCAGUAAUUGAUGUUGCGCUGCUUGAGUUGUAGCAACAACUCCUAUGGCGAUUUGGUUGGCCACCGAUGGGGGAGUCAAUUGCCCCUGCACAUAAUUGGCGGGCCAGGAGCUCCUCAAGUCGUUGCAUGCGCUCCUCUUGGUAGGGCGUGGCCUCUGCUUACUUCUCCACGCCCCUAACCAAGGCGGCUAGGUGGCUAGGCUACUCUUGGACCUCUCCAGAUCUAGAUGAUAGGGGUAUGUUGUGUUGAGUCGUCGUAGACCUUGUCCGAGAUCUUUCGUAAGGUGCCAUGUCUACUUCCUGAAACAUAAAGUGACAUCAGUUAUUAACAUAACCUAGAUUGGUCGAACUCAAUUAGAGAAAAAAAAAAUUAAUUCAAUUUGGGCAAAAUUUUCAAAAAGGAAUUUCCUUCCGUCUUUUGACUCUACAUUGUUGGUCACCAACGUGACUAUCAGAAGAGGGAAAUAGUAUCAUCUUGUUAAAGAUAUGCCUUCUUUUUUAUUGGUUUGGUUCAUACACCGGGUUUAUGGAAAAAUAGAAAGGAUCCCAUUAGGAUUUAUUUUGGUGGAUCCUAAUUUAAAUUGGAAUCCUAGGUGGACUAGGAUUGGUUUCCAUAUAAUACUCUAUAUUCAAUAAUCAUAUUGAAUUAGAGUAGGAUUGAGCCAAAUCCCUCUCUAUAUAUACAUGCAUAUGCAUGUACGGCUUGGGGAGCCGUGUGGUGGCCAAAAGUAAUUAGAGAGGCUAGAGGGCUGAGGCCAAUUAAAUUAGCAUCAGGUCCAUGGCUAAUUAAUCAAGGCUAUUGGCCCGGUCUUGACGACGUACGGCAGCAGCAAGAAGGUCGCAUGAAGGACUGACUUAAUUAGCAUGCGGAGAGAAGCUAAUUAAUUAAGGUGGCCGGUUCUCUUCAUGUAUAGCGGUACGGUAGCAAGAGAAGGAGAUGCGCGGUAGCACGCAUGUGACGGAUUGACAUUGGCGGCGGAGCGGCGGUUCUCAACCAAUUGCCUGAGCGGUUCGGAUUCUUCGAAGCAACGGCAUAAAGGAAUUUGGUUAGAGUUUCUAUACUUCUCUAAUUUGGUCUUCUCGGUUUUACGAAAAGAUUUUUUCGGUAUUUUCUUGGAGUUUUCGUUGGAACAAGAGAAAGGUGGGAUUCACCGUAAGGCUCUUGGUUUUUAUCCGGAGAAGACAUAAGGUGUAAGCUUGUACUUCUAUUUCUUCAUAUAGUGGAAUACAUCUCUCUCGCUCUCCCCGUGGACGUAGGCAAUUGCCGAACCACGUAAAUCUUGGUUUCUUCUUUCUGCAUUUAUUUCUUUUAGCCGGUCGUUCGUGUUUCUCUAUUUUUCGUGCAUCUUGUUGGUAGUGCAUGACGAAUGAUCAUACCGGUUCCCAACACAUUUUGAUUGGCGCCAGUAAGUUUUCUGGAGAUAUAACAUCCAUUCAUGACUUAAUUCGCCGUACUACCUAUAAAAUUGUUUCUCUACACGUUGUCCAAAGUCCUUAAGCGUCAGUUCAAUGCCUAGUUUUUGUUGGGAUCCGUAUUGCGCGCCGGUACCGAUCUCGUGAAUCGGCAACAGCCUCCGAUACCGACUCUCUAGGAUCCGGUAUCUAAAUUGUUGGGAUAUUCCGCAACGGAACGUCAAAUCGGGUUUUACUCGAUAAACCCGUCUCCUCAGCAAAAAGCUGAUACAAUCAUAAAAGAGAAAUACCAAAACAAAAAUACGGUAAAAUAAGAUUCAUUAAAUAAGUAGAAGAUUACACCUGACUCCUCUUCUGCACAGAGUAACUACAACCCAGCGCAUCUUUCUAAUCUUUUCUACCCUUCUCCUCGUCGUUCUAUAAUCAUAAAGAAGACAAUCAUCCGCCGCACUCAUCACUAGUGCACUAAAUAACUCUCUCCUCUCCCUUUUUUCUUCUCGGUUACGGCACCCAAAGAGCCUUUCUCUCUCCCGUACUCACAUCUCAAAAGCAAACCACAAAAGAGCUAUUUAUAAGGUCGCACAGAAAAAUACCCAAAUCCUAAUAUAUUUAGGAUUUCUAACUCCAAUUAAUAUCUAAAUCUAUCUUAAUAAUCUCUAAUAAUUAAAUUAAUCCUAAUCUAGUUAGAUUUUACCUCUAAUUUAAUAUUUAAAUCUUAAUUUAUCUCCAAUAGAUUUAAAUAUAUAAUUCUUAAUCAACUAGGAUUCAUACAAAUCUAACCAAUCUAAAAUCUCCACCUUGGUUGGAUUUGUAAUACUUCAAACGUCACGUCGAGCUCACCAUGCAAGCUCACCCUUGAGCUUGUCUCCUCCGCUCGAUGUCGCCGCAUCGUCGCUCUCGCCUCGAGCGACUGCACUCCGCGAACUUUUGGAACCAACGUCUUCGCUCCCGUUCGAUUGUGCUCUCGUUCAGAACGUACAAGUUGCCACGCUUGUUCGCCUCGCAACACGACCCAUCUCGUUUUCGAACUCUCAUAGCUCCACCUGAGCCGAAAUAUCGCAACCCUUCGAGUCAAUUGCGCCUAACGAGAUCAAAUUUCGCUUUCAAUCCAGGAACGUACCGCACACUCUGUCAGCGUCCUCACGACCCCAUCGUGCAUUCGGAUCUUCACCGUGCCGACUCCCAAAACUUUGCACGUCGUCCCGUCCCCAUUAGAGCUUUUUCACCUUUUGAUCGCCUUAUAGGUUGCAAAAAGACUCCUUCCCGGCAUACGUGAAAAGAACACGCCGAAUCGAGCACCCACGCGUCAUCCGAAAUUUUUGCAACCGUCCGGUCGCGCAUAUAGCACAUCAGAAUCGAACAUCUUCCGAUCUGCUCGUCUGUGCCGUUUCUGAUACGUCUCGUCCUGGUUCAGCGACAGUUCUCCUUCUGUCUGCUAACUCCUUCAGAUCAUCCUGAAGUUUUCGACAAUUUGCGCUUGAAUAUGCCUUUCCUGUGAGAUAAAAGCACUCUACCCUCAGAUAGCGGCUUCUUCUGUCGAUCUCCGGUCGCUGAUGUGUGCCUCCUUUUCGCUCUGACUACCAAAGCUGAUAUCCCGACUCUGUGUGCGCGACUCCUGAGUCAUCUUCCGCAUCUCGUUCGAGAGAACGCCGCCGUGACCGUCUCCACGCUUAUGGUCUCCUUGCCAUAAAGCAACGUGGUCAGCAGAUGCUCAUAUGUCGCCGUAGCGAAGAUAGUAAAUCAGCGCCUUAUCUUCGUCUAUCCACAUUGACUACGAUGCUGGUCAACUGGCCACCACUUGUUGAAUUCGUUUAGAUGCCAUGUAGGCUUGCCGCUUCUUGCAUCCGCAGCGUAAACAGUCGUGGCUUCAGAUACAAUCUGUCGUCAGGGAAUUUGGUCAUGUACAGUCUUCCAUAUUUCUUCCACAACUGUCGCCGGUGUCGUCUCGCUGGCUACGUUGUAAAGAACCUCAUUGCUAAUGAAUAGAUGAAGCGUACUCAGCGCUUCCGCUUCCAUCUUCGUCCAUGCGCAUCCGUGACCUCCGCCGGGCUUCGCCUCCUCCCGUUCAACGUCUCGUCCAAUUCUUGCUGUACGAGGAUCGCUCGUACUUUAAUUGCCACAAUCCGAAUAUUGUUCUGCCGUCGAACUUUCUCGAUUUCGAAUUCGUAGCAUUUCGUGGAUUCUCCCUCGGAUCGAUAACCUUCAGCUCUGAUACCACUUGUGGGAAUCGGUACGCCCCGGAACCGGAUCUCGUGAAUCCGCAACGCCGCUCCGAUACGACUGCUGUGGAUCAGGUAUCAAUUGUUGGGAUUCCGCACGGAAACGUCAAAUCGGUUUUUACCAUAAACCCGUCUCCUCAGCAAAAGCUAUAACAAUCAUAAAGAGAAAUACCAAAACAGAAAAUAUGCGGGUAAAAUAAAGAUUCAUUAAAUAAGAGAAUAUUACACCUGACUCUUCUUCGACAGAAGUAAUACAACCGAGAGCCCUCUUUCUGAUCUUUUCUACCCUUCUCUCGUCUUCUAUAAUCCCAUAAAGAAGACAAUCAUCCGCGCGCACCCAUGCACUAGGUGCACUAAAUAACUCUCUCUCUCUCUUUUUCUCUCUCUGGUACGGCACCCAAGAGGCCUUUUCUCUCUCCCGUACUCACAUCUCAAAAGCAAACCCACAAAGAGCUAUUUAUAAGGCUCCACAAAAAACGUACCCAAAUCCUAAUAUAUUUAGGAUUUCUACUCCAAUUAAUAUCUAAAUCUAUCUUAAUUAAUCUCUAAUAGAUUUAAAUAUUAAUCCUAAUCUAGUUAGAUUUUAUCCUCUAAUUUAAUAUUUAAAUCUUAAUUUAUCUCCAAUAGAUUUAAAUAUUAAUUCUUAUCUAACUAGGAUUCAAUUACAAAUCUAACCAAAUCCUAACAGGUUUCUUGUCUAUCCAUCAUAUCGCUCUGAUACCAUUCAAUCUAUCAUGCUCCAGUUCGAGCAGCGAAGGCCCCUAUUUAUCGAGGCCGUGGCAGACCCGUUGCACAGGCAGAGCUUCCCCUGCCCGCACGAAGUGGUGAGCUACUAGCUGUACAAUCAAUUCUUCACAAGAAUACAUUGCAGAUAGGAAACUCAUUAAUCACUUUAAACUAUUACAAAUUGUUUAUCUCCAAAUACACCAUCAUCAUACAACUAACAUCUCUUAUAAUUUAAUAAAAUCAAAUGGUCAACUAUGUGUUCCACUUGCUAACUAUGUCAAAAUGAGACAAUGGAUGAGGCCCACCGGCUAAUAUGUGCCGCCCUUGCCGUGAGCACACACCUCGGGAAGACGAAGGGCCUGUGGAAAAACAACAACAAUAGAGGGGUGAGAAUUUGAAAUAAAUUUUCAGUAGGUUCAACUGCCGAAGGAGGUGAUCUAUACUCACUCAGUCCAAAGGAGGCAUAAUAGGAAAAAAGGUAACGAUAUAUGAAAGCUACAAUUAUGUAUGGUGAAAGAGAUAUGAAUAAAUGCCACUACUAUACCUUUGUGAAGUUUUGAAGUUUACCAAGAAGACGUGCAACUUAUCUAUUCAACAUGGAAGAAGCUCUCCAGUGGGAACUAACAAUGUCUUACCCAAUUACCUCUACUGGCUUGUUGGUCUGCCCCUUGCUUGCUUACUAUCAACUCAUGGAAGGCCGAGCAAUAUCGACUACCAUCCCACUUGGUGUAGAUAAGGGCUGAGCAUUAUCGACUACCCAAAGCGACACUUCUGGAAGGUCUUGGCUCGUGGGGUUGCGAUCCCCACGAGCGAUGUGAUCUAGCAUAAUAUUUUGACUAAUACAAGUUUUAGUCACAAUCCACAUCCAUGGAUUUUCAUUUUUAUGUCACCUCAAGGCUUUGUUUGGUUCGGGUAUAAGCAAGAACUGUUUAUUCCAAGGAUAGGUACAAGUUCAGGUAUAAGCAAAAACUUGACCAAUUUUGCGUUUGGAUGAAAAUUGAGUUGUUCCCGAAAAUAAGAAAAAUAGUGUUUUGAUAGAUAAGAUGGAAUAAGAAGAACGAUGAGUAGUUAUAAAAAAAAAUAAUGAUAUUACUCAUUAUAUUUGAAUUUAAAUUUUUAAAUUUUAUAUUUAUAUUUUCUAAAUUUAAAAUUUUAACUUUUAAAUUUCAAAAUUCAAAAAUUAAAAUUCAAAAGUGAAAAUCUCAAAUUUUAAAAUUCAAAUUGAAAAUCUCAAAUUUUAAAUUUCAAAAUUUAAAAUCUCAAAUUUUAAACUGCAAAAUUUGAAAUUUAAAAUGUAAAAUUUGAGAUCAAAUUUAAAUUUGAAAAAUAUAAAAUAUCAAAUAAAUUUUAAAAAUAAAAAUUUAAAAUUUAAAAUUUAAAAUUAAAUUUUUUUUUUGAGAUUACAAAUUAUAAAUUAAAAAAAAUAAAAAUUUAAUUUUUAAGAUUUUAAUUUUUAAAAAUAAUUAAUGAUUUAAAUAUAUUAAUUAGAUUAAUUAAUGAUUUAAUACUAUAAUUAAAAUUAAAUUUAGAGUUUAAUUAAUCUUGUUCCCGUUUAUUCCAGGGAGAAGGGUGGAACAGCAAUUCUAGGCUUGUAUCGGAUUAUACCAGUUUAUUCCAGAUACCAGUUAAUUCAUUAAACAAUCCAUGCAGAAUUUACAGUUUUAGUUAUCAAAUGUUGAAAUGCUCAUUAUGCCCCAAUGUAAUAGUAUGAUCCGGUCUUGUCAACUCGAUCAGUGUUCUCAUCUUGGAUCCCUGAGGAACAGCCCCAGGAUUGACAUACUUUUAAUCUAUCCUCAAGCUGUUCAGCUUAUUUUUUAGUUGCUCCUUUCAUCCGUUCUUUGUAGGCGAACUGAUGAAACUUGGUGCAUCCAUUGUUGUCCUUCAAGCCGUUCCAAAAUUUUUGCUGUGUCCCUUUUUUUUUUAUUUUCUUUUUCAAAUCUUAGUUGGAUCACUAAAAAAACCAGCAAAGCAGCUAAAUUUUGAUCAUGUGCUGCCUGAUAUUGAUGCAACUGUCCUCUUAACCAAUCCUUUCUCUUGAUUUGUGACCCUCUAAUGACUUAUGUUGCCUGAUAAAUGCUGUCCCUUAGUUUUCCUUCACUAUAUGAUAUUUUUAUUGGUUCCUUAUAAUAUCAGUUAACUGUUUCAAGCUGUUUUUGUUUGCUUGGAAAUUGUAUAUUUAAUUAUAGAAAUUUUGAAAUGGAUGACAGAUGGUAUCUCUACUAAUAGUCAUUUUCCUUCGCCUUUGUAAAUUUGUAAGAAUUAUCUGAUCGCAUAUUAUUUGUGCAUAUUUCUGUUUCAUUUGUUUUUUUUUACCUUCUGAUUGCUGAUUUUCUUAUACUGAAGUGUGGGUCUGAGCUUGUCUAACUUUAUGAAAAGUUUAAACGUGUAAAUGUCCUAUGUUGAAUUAUUGAUAGGGGUAAAUUGAUUUCAAUCUGAAACAUUAGAAGAUUAUGUUAUAAAUUAUGACUCAAUCUUGUUCGUUGAGCUUGCAGUCAGCCAUGAGAUGCCGAGUAAUAUUUUUAUUCUUGCAGUUUCCUUCAGUCAUUGCAUUGGACCUUCUCCAUUUUCUUUACCGUAUGCAUUCUACGGUUUGUAAUGAAUGUGGUUACUUUUCCCAUUCGCAUCAGUUGUAGUCUCAUUAUCUUGUAUCACAUUUAUAUUUUAUUGAGUUAAAAUUGCAACUUUAUUUUAUUUUAUUUUAUUUUUUACAAUUUUAUCAUCUAUGAUGGGCAGAAACCUCUUUUUAGGCGUCUUGUCCGCAUUGGGUAUUAAUUCUCGUACGUACAUGCCUGAUACAUAUCAGAUAUUUGUCAUAAAAAUAUCAACCAUUUUAGAAACUUUAGAAAAAUAAUGGAUGCUCAUGGGGAACUUGUGGGACACGGUUGGAUUUCUUUCGGCUCUAACUGGGAAUGAAAAUCAUUCUCAAGAUAACUUGUAUGGCAAGUUAUCGUAGUUAUUACGCUUGGAUGACACUUGCAUCAUGGGCUCAUGUUUGAUGAAACUCGAGAUUAAUGUUGGUCUAGUUAAUUUUGUUUCUUAGUGAGCAAGGUUCGACUUUUUAUAUAUCUUUGCACCAGUUAGUUGGUUUAUUGUUUAUGUUGUCUGAUCACCUAAACCUCUAUUAAUAUAAAUCGUCAUAUGAGGUAAUACUAAUGUAUCAAAAAUUAUGUUUAUUGCCAUGUCCAUUACAUAUCACAUGCAUCCUAACAUUUUGAGAAUUUGUUUUUAUCUCUGAAUUUGUAUCAAAUUGUAUCAGUAUUCUGUAUUGUGCAACAAGUGGGCACGAAUGCCAAAACAAUUAUAAAGAGGCAUCAGAGAAGAGCGAUCACUGGUUAUUUGGUUCUAUCACAUUCUAUCACUAACUUUUUGGUUGGAACAGAGGGCUGAGGUCUAAAACUCUUUUUUGUCACACUAGUAACAAAACUUACUUAGUCGGGUGUGAUUAAAAAGAAAAAGAAUUAAAAGAAAAGAUGAGGGCUUCUGUAGUUUUUAAUUUGUUGUGUUUAUUCUGAAUUUUAGGGUUACUUGCAUAGUAGCAGAAGCUUGCCUUGUGGCGGGAUCAGCUAGGAAUGCGUACCACACAAAAUAUGUGGGUUACUACAUCAAGCGGGACUUGACGUCGUGCGCAGCACUUCGGAAGGGGGUCUUCGCCGCGGCAGCUGCUCUUGUGCUGGUCUCUUUAGUGGCAUCUCUCGUAUAUUAUUGGAACUACUCCAGGGCCGCCACCGGAGGUUGGGUGAAACACCAGAAUGAAGGCGGGGUAGGAAUGACGGAUUAUGGCACGGGUAAGGGUAAGGAUGAAUCCGGGGGUACUGCGACGGUUUGAGCAAACUUACCCAUGAUAGGUAGUCAUGUGCUUUUCCUUACAAUUAUGAGGCUUGUUGCAUGUUCUAUAUUAACUUGAAACUGUAGAGCUCAAAAAAUGUGGUUGCUGCUCUUUGUUGACUUCUCACAUGUGUUUCUUUCCGCUGAUGUCGUGACCGUGGUCGUCCGUUAAAUUUCAGUAAAGAUCAAAGUGUUCAUCAGUCAAACUACCGUUAUUUAUUUGUUGGAAGGUUGCAUCUCCAUCACGGGAAAGGGGCCUCGAUGGCUUUGACUUUCCCCCAGUAACCCAACUCGGCUUGGGGCUUGGGGUAAGACGACAACUCUACCUCAAUUUGCCCUUCUGUGGUGCAACUUUUACUUUUUUUACUUUAUCAUUUCGUGGUUUCAAAAGCAGCACUUAACUAACCAACCUGUAGUUUUAUCUCUAUUUUAUUCAGAAAAUCUCGUCAUAUAGAGUACGUAGCAAAAAGUCUUUGCUACCAUAGGGUAGCUAAGUGUAACUUUCUGAUCCCUAAGGUAGCAGUGUAAAUAAGUCAAAUCAUAGGUGGGGAAGUGCAACUCUUUGAGUAGCAUAAUAGCAGAGGUGAAAAUAAACUAAAACACAGUAGGGCGAAUUGAAGUUUACCCAAACUUCUUAACCAUUCUCUUGUUCAAGAAUGCAAUAGGCUCAAGCAAAGAGUCGCCCUGCGUUAUUAAUAAUUGUUAGUCGCAAAGGUCACAGCUGUAGCAACCCGAUCUUGCUUUUGAGUUAUGAAACAUGAAAUCAAGUGGGCAUUUCGAUUCAACUUGGAAAUCAAAUUUUGUAAGAUGCAACUUACCACCUUGGCUAUAUUGGUAAAAUAUAGGCCAAAAUUCCUUUUGUGUUCAUUACUUCUGGAGGUCCACUGCGGCGCGGUGCAUAUGUAUAUAGGGUUACUUACUAUUUCGUAUACCAAAAGAUUACCACGGCUAACCGCCCGCUCGGUUUGGGGACAAACGUGAUCCGGCAAAUGUUCGACCGUCUGGAAGCUUGAAGCCGGAGAAUCGUGUUUUUAUUGCGCCGCAGGAGCCCAAUCAGGCGCGUGAGUAGAGCCGCCACAGACCGGGUAUUUAUUGCCUGCAUAUGUUUGGCGUCGGAGUACGAAGAAGUAUAUUUUAUGCAAGCAUGAUAUAGUAGUAAUUGAAGGAGACUUAACCCAGGAUUAUAUUUUCUUUCCAUAGGACAUUUACUUGUUUCACAAAAUAUCCGAGUCCGCAGAUACAACCCAUGAAUCGUCUACAGAAGUUUAGUAAUAAAUUUUCAAUAUCCAAACGAAGUAGAAACCCCAAAAUGUGCCUCUCUAUUAGGUGGUGGCAAGUUAUUGCGCAUUCUCACUCCGCGCCAGACUAUAAAGUUCUCCUGUGGGUGCAAUCUACCGACGAGGACAAGCUGUACCGACUGCUCAAUGAAAGAACAAUGACAAUAACAGAGCAUAAUUGAAAGGAACUACAUCUAUAUCUAUCUAUAGUCUAUAUAUAGUAUAUAUGAAUCCUCAGUUUUGAACACCUGGCGAGCGCGGAGGCGCGGGCAGGGGCGAGCGUGGGGCGCGGGCAAGCGGGCGCGCCUGGCGGGGCGCCGUGUGGCGCGGGCGCGCGGGGCGCGGGCAGGCGGGCACGCGGGGAGGGGCUCCGCGUGGCGCGGGCGGGGGCGAGCGCGAGCGCGGGGCGUGGGCAGGCGGGCGCGGGCGCGGCGCGGGGGGCGGGGGCCGCGUGGCGCGGGCGAGCCGGCGGCGCGGGCGAGAGCGGGCGCGCGGGAGAGGAGAGGAGAGGCGGCGAGGGUGGCGGGGCGCCGCGUGGCGCGGAUUGCGCGCGGGGCGCGGCAAGGCGGGCGCGCGGGGCGGUGCCGCGUGGCGCGGGGAGAGGAGCGGGAGAGGAGAGGCGAGGGAGAGGAGAGGAGCGGAGAGGUGGGGCCAGGCGCCCACAGCCGAGGGGACAGGAGAGGAGGGAGGGAUUUUUUUUUUUUUUUUUUUUCGCCUCUUUUUCUCUCUUUAAUUUUUUCCCUUAAUUUUUUUUAUAUAUUUAUUCUCUUAAUAUAUAAUUAAAAAAAUUAUAAUUUUUGUAAUUCAAUCUAAAUUUUUAUUUAUUUUUAUAAAAAUUUAAAAUAUAUAAAUAUUUUUUAAAAAGUUAAAUUAUUUGUAUUAAAUAUAAAUUUUAAUUAAGCCGAAUAAAGAAUUGUUAAAAAUAUAUAAAAAAUAAUGAAGGAAAUUUACAAAUGAAACAAUAAAAAAUAAAAAAAUAAAAGGAUAAGAUAGAUAAAAGAAGAAUAGAGGCAAAAAUAUAAGACAAUAAAUCAUUUUUUCUAAAAAUUUAUAAUAUAUUAUAUAAUAAUUAUAAUAUAUAAUUAUAAAUAUAACUAUAUAUUAAUUUCUUAUUAAUGAUUAUUGCCUUUAUUUUUUUUUAAUCUUUCUUAUAAUUUAUUUUUAUAUUUUUAUUACAGUAAUAAUCUUAUUUUUAGUUAUUUUUAUAUAUUUUUGACCUAGCCCGGGGAGGGGUGAAGAGGAAGUUUUUUUUUCUUCUAUCUCAAUUGUUCCCUCAUUUAUUAUUUUUUUAAAUCCAAUUUGGGAACAGUGCGGAUGGACCCAACGGGGGAGAGAGGAGGGAGGUUUUUUUUUUUUUCCUCUAACUUCAAUUUUUUUUUUUGUUCAUGUACAUAGAAAGAAAAUUAUAUAUAUUUUUAGUCUAAUCUAAUUUUUUAUUUAUACUAUAAAAAUUUAAAAUAUUAAAAAAUUGAUAAAAAUGUUUUUGAAAGAUUGGAUUUACAUUUCCAUCCUUAUAGCUAUAAGACGAAUAAUAAUUUAAUCUCAAAUUUUUAAUGUAUUAUGAUUUAAACAAUGAGGUAUGUGAUAUUUUCAUCCCCAAUCUUUAAUUAGUUACUUAUUUUUCAGUUAUUUAUUUUAUAUAAUUUUUUGACUUUUUAUUUUGUAUUUUGUAAUUUAUUUAUUUAUUUUUAUAAAGUCAUCCCGCCGCAACGUGCAGGUCCUUCACUGGUACAUAUAUGAAACCGCAGUUACUAUACAGUGCAGCGAGGGGCGGGGGCGAGUGCGGGUAGGCGCGGGGGCGCUGUGCGGCAGGCGAGGAGCGGCGGGCGACGCGCGGGCGCGGGCGGGGCGUCCGUGGGUAGGAGGGACGCGGGCAGCGCGUGCGCGCGGGGCGGGCACCUCGGACGUGCGAGGAGCAAGCGCGCGGGGCGCUGCGCGGCGCAUGCGCGCAUGCGGUGGGGCCCAGCCGGGGAGAGAGAGUCGGCCAGGGGCAGGAGGCGGGUGGGGACGGUGGGGAGCGGAAGGAGCAGAAGGGGUGGGCCAAGGCGGGUGGGGCCCACCUCUUUUUUAUAUUUUUUUAAUUUGUUUUAUUUUUAAUUCUUUUUCUAUUAAUUUUGAAAAGCAAACUUUUUAAAAAUUUUAAUAUAAUUUUUCUACCUUAUUAUAACAAUUUAAAAUAUAUGCGUAUUUUUAAAUAGUUUAAAUUAUAUGUAUUAAAUAUAAAUUUUAAUUUUCUAGGAGAGAGAGGAGAAUUAGUUUGAAUUUUUUUUCUUAAAAAAAUCUAAGCCAAACCCUAAAUCACUGGAGGAGAGAGAGAGAGAGAGAGAGAGAGAGAGAGAGAGUAAGUGAGUGUUAAAGUAUUAUUGAUGGACUUAAAUCUCAUAUAUAGAAAAAUUUGAUAAUAAAAGUAAAAUUUGGAAAGAUUAUAUCUAUACUUUUCGUCCUUAAAACUAUAAGACGAGUGAGACUUUAAUCAUCGAACUUUAAUGUGUUAUAAUUUAAACUAUGAGGCAUGUGAUGCUUUCAUCCUCAAACUUUAAUUAAUUGUAAUUUCUGACUUGAAAUAUGAGAUAUAUCAUUUUAGUACUCAAUGUUUAUUGCUGCUAUAAAUAUAAUCUAUUAUUUCUAUGGUUUUACCCUAUUAUUUUUAUAUUUUUAUUGCAGUAAUAGCGGUUUAUCCCUUAGAUUUUUUUUUUUAUAUAAUUCAUUGACUUUUUUUUUACGUUUUAUUUUAUUUUAUUUAUUUAUUUUUACGAAAUCGUUCCGCCGCAACGCGCGGGUCCUUCACUAGUGUAAGCAUGUACGAGUGCAUGAGGUUUAUUAUUGAUAUGGAAGCAACUUUGUCUGAUGGCAUGUAAGUGAUGUACAAUUAUGCAUCUAUCAACACGUGUGAACAUCAAUUCAUGACUUAAUAAUCCUCCGCCCUAGCCUUUCAAUUUACAGUAAAACCUGAACUCUUCAGUCCUGCGUCGCUGACUAAAAGUCCUAACUUUUUAGUCCCGGGUUACUUAUGCUAGGUUGCCCUAACCUUUUGGUCCUCGGCCAAUUGUCAAUCAUGACGACUUUCAAGGAAAGGAUCACCAUACAGGUGGUUGAUCAGACCACUGAGCCGCCACAAGGGAGCAUAGCAUCAGUGUCAUGUCAUCCUGCUAUAUAUGAUCAACAAUGACGAGAGCAAUGAAAAGCCCAAAACAACGAUAAUGACAAUCUUGGCCAAAAUAAGCACCACUGCUGCUGCUACACCCAAUACCAUCAUGAUUAUGUUCAAGUUCAACUAGUGUGCUUUCCAUGGCAAGUAAAUGUAAUGACACGUCUAUGUGACUAAGCAUGCUAUCUAUCAUGAACAAAUCAAUAUAUCUAGUAAGUGUAUGAGACUAGCAAGAAUGUAAUUGCUAGGCAACUAGAUAAAUAUCUAUAAACCAAGAAGAAGGGGAUGAAAGAAAGAACCAAUUCCUUUUUGGGGUUUCACUAACACCUAUCAAGAGUUACAAUGCGUCCACAGCUUGUCAAUCAUUGCCUAGACAUAAAGAGAGCGUUAACAAGUCAUACUUUGUCACGCCCCAAUCCCCGCCAAUUUGGUCCGGUUCGGAUCACGUCAACAGACGCCUGACGGAUAGCAUCUCUCCUGUCCGCCCAAGGCUCAAACAAUAUGUAUAAUUAAACAAACAACAAAAAGAAUUUGCAAUUAUACAAGGCUUGCACGAGGGCAAGCAACAAUGGAAGCGAAAGCUCUAAGCUAAACAUACAACCAUACAUGAUAUUUGAUUAUAUUUAAACCAAAUACAAGUGAACUAAAACUAUUACAUCUUUUUUCAUUCAACCAUAAUUCUUUACCUUUUUUGUCAUUCUCCAAAAUACAUGAUAUGUUCUCAACUUUACAAUCCUAAAUCAACAAAAUAAAAGUUGAUACAUGUAGGCAAAAGGAAUGACUAAUGCAUAAGUUCCGGUGGCCACUAGCUAUGACGCAAUAUCCUUGCCUCGGUCCUCCGCCGCCCCGCUCGCGCUCGGACCUGUAGGGUUAGUGGUGUGAGAGCUGCAACAAAGUUCUCAGUGGGUUCGGCAACUGACCUCGCCGACUUACCCACUAGGUCCAAUUCAAGUAUAAGUAUUUCAAAGGAAAGAAAACUAUAACCAUUGCUAAUGCUAAUGCUAAUACUAUGCCUGCAAGAAAGAUGUUAGUGGAUAUAUAAUCGAAUAAUGAAUGCUUAUGCAUGCAUGCUUGUUCUAUACUUUACUUUAGCUUUUACCCAAUCUUGCCGGUUAACCUUGUUAACAACAAAACUCACCAUCACAAUUCCCGUCUACCGGGGGAGGCUUUAGGCUCAACCACCCGAGUGUUCAUCGACGGGGUACUUUUUCCGUGGUGUCUACACUCCGGAGUACAUCGCUUGAGGAGGAGCUACCUCCCUCAAGCCUAGUUAAUGUGAGUAUCGAUCCAAUCCUCAAUUUGAGGAUACAUAGCCACUAGUCACAAUGCCAUUGUCAUAAUAGGUUUCUACCUAUUUGAUCAUGCUACUUUCCAAGUCAUACCUGUCAUAAUGUCUCUAGGGUUAAACUAUAUUUAACAGCCAAUUUCUCAAUGCCAAUCAUGUCUCUAUUGUCAAUGUCACAUUUGUUUACUAUUGUCCAAGUCCAAAUCUCACAUUCAUACAAGUUUAGGGUUCUACCAUACAUGUCCAUUAUGGUUCUAUCAUUCUCUAUGUUCAACUACGUUAAAAGCAUGUAAAUGAAAUCCAACCAAAGUUCAUAUGUAAUUUAACCCUACUAUGCAUGAAUGACUAUCCAUCAAUAUGCUCAAUGAAAGGUGAAAUAGACAUAAAGGGAAAUCUGAUGAUUCCAGCGUGCACCCCCCACCUUGAAUUGUGUAGAAGGGUUGUAGUUCGACUCUCGCAAUUUUAGGACGCCUCUCCCGCGACCUAACACAAAAAUAAAGCCAAAUUAGGCCCUAUAUACAAGAUCUCAUAUCUAGACUUUUCGUAAUGUUAAACGGAGUUGUCCCACGCGUCGGGAAUACCCCUAAUUAGGUUUCCAAGAGGUCAAUUUAUCUCGGAAAUAACAGAAGGCAAAAGCCCCAAUUUUCAAGCCCUAACAAUGUCAUAUAGGGUUUUCUCCUAGAUUGAUCUUAUCUCUAAGCAAAUGAUAGCUUAGAAUUACCUAGGAAGCUCUCUAAUACUAUUACCAAGCCUUUCCAAACAUCUCUAGGGCAUCUAAUAUGAUCUCUAGGAGUUCACCAUAAGAGCUCUUGAGAAACACAUGGAUUUCAUGUGUUCAAGGCCUCUACAAUGAUCCUAGCCUUGCUAGAGGAUCAAAACUCCAAAUUCUAAGGUAAAAACCCAAAACCCUAGACCUACUUUCCAUAACAACUCACCUUGGCCACGAGCUCACCCAAGUCCACCUUGUUGGAGAGCCCCUAGAACCACCAAAGCCUCCAAAACCCACAUUCUCCAAGCUCCUCUUCUUCAACACUUUGCUCUAGGGUUGAGCUCUAGAGAGAGAAAGGGAAAAAUAAGACAGAAGGGUGAUAGGUGUUGUGUAAACCAGUGGGAGGGAGGUUGGGGACAUGUAUAGUGUGCUACAAUUGCAACUAGGCCCCCCAAAUAUUCUUAUUUGCAGCAGGUCAAUUUGUUGCUGCCAGACCAAAGUGUACUGGUACACGGGAUGCUGUCACCGGUAACACGAUUACGCAGAGGCAAACUCGAGAGCAAUUCUCGCAGAUUUUUUCAAAGUGUACCGGUACACACCAGGGGUGUCAUCGGUAACACAGGCAAAAUUUCUUAAAUCCGAGAGCUUCUCUGUCACGCCCCGGGACCCAGCGGAAGCCCGCCCGGCGCGUGCCCAGACCCGCCAUACGUCUAAAACGUAUAAGGCGUCUAAAAAUAACAAUAAUAAAAUCAAUAAUAAGAGACAUUUAGGAGUAUCAGAGUAUAACAAAUGUCUAAAUGCUACAACCAGGGAUAAGGAUAAAACUGUAAAUCUACUAAAUAAAACAUAAAGUGAUACAAGGAAAUCCCAGAUACAAGUGCUAUAGGUAGAUACAUAGGUGGUCUCUAUACAUGGAUACAAAAACCUCUCACUCUCUCAACUACAAAAGAAAGAGUAAACCACCUGGGCAAAGUAGCGCUCCUCGCUAGCUAGCUAAGCGAUCUCCUUGCCGCGAUCCCGUGCCUCCGCCGGUGCCGAAGGCUCUGAAAAGUAAACCAUAAAACAGGGGCGUGAGAACUAUUAAAAUAGUUCCCAGUGGGUAAUUACUGACUUCAGUGAAUGCGCCACGAGGCCCAAAGCUACAAAAGAUGUCAGUGACUAUAAAAGUGGAAAAGCGAAAGGUAAGUAAAAAUGUAACUUACUACAACAUGAUAUCUCUACUUAGCAUAAUUAGCAUAAGUAUGAAGCAACUAUGCAUGAAGUAAAAGUCUCCAACUAUCAUAAUGAUCACAAUGCGAAAUAGUAAAGUUCCACUGUUUACUAUUCUAGUCAAUGUCCAAGUAGUACACUAAGUCAUCAUCUGUCCACAUGUCGUAAUGAAUACUUAAAGUCAAAUCUGAAGAGACCCACCCGAAGGCUGUCUAUGGCCCUGAGACCCACCCGUAGGCUGUCUGGCCGAUGCUGAGCCUAGUGGCCUCGUGGUAGUCAUCAUCCCCACCCUAGGAAUGAGCCUGGCCCACGGCAAUCCACUUCGGCGCCCAAUCCCGCACGGCGAAUAUAAAUCGCGAUGGCCAUCUCCGGAGUGCCGGCUUGUAGGGAGCGACCCUCACAAGCAUGUGCGAAUGAGCACAAUGGCAAGUAGUCGUAUAUCCUAUCACAAGUACCAAGUCCUCAUGUUUAAUAACAUAGAAUGUAUCGAAUGUCCCAAAGGCCUGUCUCUAUGUCAUCAUGUCUCUAACAUGGAAUAUAUGGCAGAUGUACAAUGGCCUAUCAUCAUGUCUCUAAGUUGCAUUUUCAUAGUUUACUAAUUCCAAGUGCCCCUUUAUGACACUUUUGUUCAACGAGUCCCAAGCAUGGCAUUAAUAUGUUCAUGAUNNNNNNNNNNNNNNNNNNNNNNNNNNNNNNNNNNNNNNNNNNNNNNNNNNNNNNNNNNNNNNNNNNNNNNNNNNNNNNNNNNNNNNNNNNNNNNNNNNNNNNNNNNNNNNNNNNNNNNNNNNNNNNNNNNNNNNNNNNNNNNNNNNNNNNNNNNNNNNNNNNNNNNNNNNNNNNNNNNNNNNNNNNNNNNNNNNNNNNNNNNNNNNNNNNNNNNNNNNNNNNNNNNNNNNNNNNNNNNNNNNNNNNNNNNNNNNNNNNNNNNNNNNNNNNNNNNNNNNNNNNNNNNNNNNNNNNNNNNNNNNNNNNNNNNNNNNACUCAUAGCCACUAGUCACAAUGCCUAUGUCACGAUAGAUCUCUACCUAUUCAUUCUUGCCACUCUCAAGGCUUUACCUUUGACGAUGUCAAAAUGAGUUAAACUAUAUUUAACGGUUCAUCUCUCAAUGCAAAUCUUGUUUCUAUGCCAAUGUCACCCUUGUUUUCUAUUGUCCAAGUCCAAACUCACAUUCACACAACUUGAGGGUCCAAUCACACAUGUCCAUUUUGGUUCUAUCAUCCUCUAUGUUCAACUACGUUAGAAGCAUAUAAAUGAAUUCAAACCAAGUUCCACAUGUAACUACCCUACUAUGCAUGAAUGGGUAUAUAUAUAAAUAUAUAUGCUCAAAAAUAGAAAAAACAGACAUAGAAAGGAAUCCAACGAUUCCGGCGUGCACUCCCCACCUCUAUUGGUUGUGUGGGUGUAGAUUACGAAGGCUCCCGCACUUUACGAAAGCCGAUUCCGAGCCCUAUAAUCAAAAUAGUGCCAUAUUAGGCCCCUUUGUACAUGAGCUAUACUCUAAUAUUUUCGCAACGUUGAACGGAGUUGUCCAACGUGUUUAGGGCACCCCCAAUUAGGUUGCCACGGGGUCAAUUUGUCCCCGAACAAUCCUAGGGCAAAAGCCCCAAAUUCAAGCCCUAAUAUUGUCAUUUAGGGUUUUUCCCAUGAAUCGAUCCCAACCUUAAGCAAACAAUCGCUUAGGAUCAACUAAGAAGCACUCUAGUAAGGUUUCUAGACCUUUGGUACCAACCCUAGGGCUCCAAACACCACUUCCAAGGAUUCACCAUGAGAGCACUUUGAGCUCUCAUGGGAACCAUGGUGUACAUGGCUCAAAAGAGCCUUUAAUGCCUCUAGGGAGCACAAAGCUCCCAUUUUCAAAGCCAAAAUCCAAACCCUAGGCUUAUUUCUACCAAAAACUCACCUUAGCCCAAGCUCCUCCAAGUCCCUCUUGUAGGAGAGCUUGUAGAACCCACCAAAGCCUCCAAAUCCACCUUCCCUUGCUUCUUCUUCUUCUUCCCCAAGCCCUAGAGCAAGAGUUCUAGAGAGAGAAAGAGAGGAAAUGGGAGAGAAGGGUGAAAAUGGCUGUGGGAGAGAGGGGAUGAGUCAUAUAUAGUGUUGUAACAAUUGCACUUAAGCCCCUCCACUUGUUUCCUCUUGAACUGCCCAGAUUGGGCAUUUUUCGCCUUCGGGGAUCGGUCUCCCCCACCAGGGACCGGUUCCCGAACGUGGGUGUUCCAGGACUUAGCCAAAUUUUUGAGUUUUUCAGCUGUUGCGCAGCGAGGGAUCGGUCUGCCCGUCAGGGACCGGUCUCCCGAGGACCGGUCUCACUAUUAGGGACCGGAUACCUCAGGAUUUCCUGGCAGGCUACGCGCACGAGGACCGGUCUCUCCUUCAAGAAUCGGUCCCCGAGAGCUCAAAAUCUGGGACUUAGCCAGAUUUUCGGAUUUGCUCUCCCGGGCCCCUUUAGCCUCAUUUAUGGACUCUAAUACACUUAGGGUCCACUUUAACUCGUCCCACUCCAGGUUUCGCUCGUUUUGACGGAACUCGGCACGUCCUACAAGGGACGUGGUAUGUUACAUUCUCCACCCCUAAAAUUUAGUUUCGUCCGCGAAAUUACUUAUUCAGAGUCCAUACCUCAAUUCGACUCGUCGAAGAGUUGAGGGUGGCGCUCCCGCAUCUCGCUCUCGAGUUCCCAAGUUUCCUCCCGAUCACCGUGCUCACUCCAAUGAAUUUUAACAUAGGGAAUUUCCCGGUUCCUUAACUUUCUCACUUCCCGAUCCACGAUGUAAGCCGGGAACUCCUUAUAAGUCAUAUCAUCUUGGAGCUCUAUAGGUAUAUACGAGAGAAUAUGAUCCGGGUCGUAGACAUACUUGCGGAGUUGGGAUACAUGGAAUACGUCAUGCACUCUCGCAAGCCUGGGUGGUAAUGCCAACUUGUAGGCUACCACGCCAACUCGUUCCAAAAUCUCGAAGGGUCCGAUAUAGCGGGGACUUAGCUUCCCGCGUACACCAAACCGCNNNNNNNNNNNNNNNNNNNNNNNNNNNNNNNNNNNNNNNNNNNNNNNNNNNNNNNNNNNNNNNNNNNNNNNNNNNNNNNNNNNNNNNNNNNNNNNNNNNNGUCUCGAUCUGAUACUAUAGAAGUAGGUACCCCGUGCAAUCGCACAAUCUCGUCCAAAUAUACCUGUGCGAGCUUCUCUCCGGUCCAAGUAGUAUGAAUAGGCACGAAGUGCGCCGACUUCGUCAACCUAUCCACGAUCACCCAAAUAGGGUCAUGCCCGGCCUGUGAGCGAGGCAGUCCCAUCACGAAGUCCAUGGUGAUCUUUUCCCACUUCCACACUGGAAUCGGUAGGCUCUGCAAUUUUCCCGCAGGAACUCGGUGUUCAGCCUUCACUUGUUGGCAAGUUAGGCAUCUGGCAACAAACUCACCAACAUCCUUUUUCAUCCCGGGCCACCAGUAAAGUAACUUCAAGUCCUUGUACAUCUUGGUGCCUCCCGGAUGUAUAGCAUACGGUGCUCGGUGUGCUUCUUGAAGAAUGUCUUCUUUAAUGUCCAAGUCCGCCGGUACACAAAGUCGUCCGCGGAAACGCAUCAAUCCAUACCAUCUAAAGUGAAGUCACCGGUGUAACCAUCAACCAUCUUAGCUCGAAUCUUUUGCAACUCCGAGUCGGAAGCUUGCUUUUCUUUAAUCCUUUCCAAAAGUGUAGGUUGCACCACCAACGUCAUCAGUCUCAAAGGUGUAUCAGGAGCUACCACCUCCAACUCCAACCGCUUCAUCUGCUCGACCAACGGCGGUUGAGUAACCACAAGCAUUGCUAAGUUCUCAGUCGAUUUCCGACUUAGCGCAUCCGCCACCACGUUAGCCUUGCCCGGGUGGUAAAGUAUCGUCAAAUCAUAAUCCUUAAGUAGCUCCAACCAUCUGCGCUGCCUCAAGUUCAACUCCUUCUGAGUGAAAAGAUACUUCAAGCUCUUGUGAUCCGUAUAUACUUCACAACGCUCGCCAUAGAGGUAAUGGCGCCAUAGCUUCAAUGCAAAGACCACGGCCGCCAACUCCAAGUCGUGAGUGGGGUAAUUUCUUUCAUAAUCCUUCAAUUGGCGAGAAGCAUACGCGAUCACUUUCCCGUCCUGCAUCAGAACACAGCCCAACCCAUUAAAAAAAGCAUCACUAUAAAUCACAUACCCUGCUCCAGCAGUCGGCAAGGCAAGGAUUGGGGCAGUUGUCAAUCGCUGCUUCAACUCUUGGAAACUCCUUUCACACGCAUCAUUCCAAACGAACUUCGUUCCUUUAUGCGUGAGCCUCGUGAGGGGAGUAGAUAACUUCGCAAAUCCCUCGACGAACCGUCGGUAGUAGCCGGCCAAACCAAUGAAGCUCCGUAUCUCGGUCACGCUCGUCGGCCUCGGCCAAUCCCUGAUAGCUUUAAUUUUCCUCGGGUCCACGGCUAUGCCUGAUCCUGAAAUCACAUAGCCCAAAAAUGCUACCUCUCUGAGCCAAAACUCACACUUUUUCAACUUGGCGUAGAGCUUCUUUUUCCGAAGCACUUGAAGUACAAGUCUCAAGUGUUCCUCGUGAUCCGCGUCACUCCGGGAAUACACUAAGAUGUCGUCGAUAAACACCACAACGAAUCUGUCUAAAUAAGGCUUGAAGACACGGUUCAUCAGAUCCAUAAAAGCUGCCGGGGCAUUAGUAAGCCCAAACGGCAUAAUGGUGAACUCAUAAUGUCCAUACCGUGUUCUAAAAGCCGUCUUUGACACAUCCUCAGGUCUGAUCCUCAACUGGUGAUAUCCCGACUGCAAGUCAAUCUUGGAAUAUACACAAGAUCCCUGGAGUUGAUCAAAUAGAUCGUCGAUCCUCGGCAAUGGGUACUUGUUCUUGAUCGUGACUUUGUUAAGUUCACGAUAGUCCACGCACAAGCGAAGUGAUCCAUCCUUCUUCUUCACAAACAAAACUGGUGCUCCCCACGGUGACACACUCGGUCGCACAAAACCCUUAUCCAGGAGGUCCUGCAACUGUGCCUUCAGCUCCUUCAAUUCUGCUGGUGCCAUCCUAUAGGGCGCCUUUGAGAUUGGAGUAGUCCCGGGAACGAGAUCCUACACAAUAACUCAAUCUCCUAUCAGGUGGCAUGCCUGAAGCUCCGCCUGGAACACAUCUCCAAACUCCCGCACUACGGGGAAUAUCCUCAAUCUAGGUGGUGUCGUCCAGAGUGCCGCAGACAGCAUCAGUAGGCCAAGUAGCAACGCAGCCUCUACUAUCAACAUUGUCUGAGCUCGAGGAAGAGCUAAUCGUCAUCGCAAACACGAACUCUGGCAUCCUCAGGUAUACAACCUCCGCCGUUGCCCCGGCUCGUCUGAAACGUCACCGUUCGAUCCUUGCAAUCGGAUAGUGGCGUAGUUUACAUAGGUCAACCCAUUCCAUGCCCAACACUACAUCAACUCUCCGAGUUUAUGGCAACGCUAACAAUGUCCACGGGCUAUGAUCAAUCUGCCAAUCUAACAGGGAACUGCGGGCCAAAACUUCCCGGAUGUCCAAAGGAGUAUCGGGUACAGUAACUCGUCCCCGGAUGCAACUCAAGGAACAAGUGGGAUGCAUGCAGCUCGGCAAAACAGCCGAUCAAAAUGAAUGAAUGCGAUGCACCGGUAUCAAACAAAGCUCUAACUCGACAAAUACCAUGAAGUAAAUGAUACUAGCGACCACAUUCCUCGGUACCGCCGCCUCCUCAGUCUGGACGCGUACAUGCGCCGUCGGGGCCCUGUCGUGAACACCCUCGUCUGCGCUGACUGGCGGUCGCCCUCUGGUUGAUGCGCAGAUAGAGGUCCCCUGGCUGGGACCCGCCGAUGCUGGUGCGAUGCGAAGAUGGCGCUGGCAACGGACUCCUCGGGCAGUCCGACUUGGAAGUGGCCCUCGGGCACACCAAGAGCACUGCCGGCUGGUGAACACUACCUCGGUAAUGAGGACCGCCACAAGAUAACGCCAGCGGGGGGCCCUGCGACGCUCGGGUUCCUCCUCGCUGAGUAGUGGCACGUCUCAGCGACUGGCUCCUUGCCUCCUGGGAGCUCGGCUGGCCUCCGGUUGGGUGCGUUAGACUCGCACCCUCAGCCGCGAGCCUCUUUGCCUUUCCUUUCUCCAAGCUCUCGCGACCUCCUGCCCAGAAUCCCGCCGCCCCUGCCUCCACUUAUCAAGCUCGAUCCACAACCUCCCGAUAAGUCUGGAGGUUGGAAGACUGCACCAACCGGAAGAUAGCAGGCCGAACCGCCUCAAAGAUGCGCGCCUUGUCCUCGUCGUCCCUGCAACACGAACGGUACACGUGUAGUAUGCGAAGAGAAUCUCUCUCAGUACUCAGCCACUUGACCGCUCGUCUGGCGCAAGCUGUGCAAAUCCUGCUCCAUCUUCCUCCUUGACGCUGGUAGGGAAAGUUUGCGCCAGUAGAGCUCCUUGAAUCGCGUCCAAGUAAUGCCGCCAAGUCGGUUGUUGGGGUUGUCCUGGCAUACCAACACCAACGCGUAGCCUCUGCCGUCCAGAAAGUGUUAGUGGCGAGCCAAAACUCUGUCCCGCUCCUCCACAAAAGUGUUCGAAACAGUUUCUAUGCAUCAACCAUCUCACAAUCAGUGGUCGAGCGUUCUUGCAUCAAACAUCCUCGCGGCCUGCCCACCUCCUGAACUCACUGAGGCGCCAUGAGCCGAAUCCCGCCUCGCUCCCGUCGGCCAUCACGCGUUAAAUGCCGCCGUCGCCGUCUCUGAACAGGUAGUUGCGCAGCCACCUCUCCGAGGUGCGGGUCGCCCGGUGCCGCACGUGUAAGAACUGGGCGGGGGGACUGCGGCCCCUUGGUGCGAAUCCACCACAGCGUGCUUGGUGGUGUGGGGCCUGGGUCUCCUCCGAAGCUGCCGCUGCCCUCCUGCUGAAGUAGGAGGGCCUCAGAUUGCUUCAUCCGCGCUCCUUGCGCUGAUCCACCUCGGCCUGUCGCUGCGCCGCUGCCCGUCUGCUGUGCAACUAGAACAGUUGAGAACCGCAGCUGGGCCUCAAGUCACGGACCUCACUCGGAUCCGGAAGUAGCAGAGGGUCUCGACCCCUCGGGAAGUUGACCAGCAUCACUCCGCCCGAGACUCGGGAGCGAGUACAUCCUGGCGAUCGUCACUACAGAACAUUAAAAGGCAAAGUUAGUUAACCACGCAUCGCAUCCCGCGCAAGAGGAUAAAACUCCAAAUCAUUGCCGAAAGUAAGGAAGUGUCCUUGCAUACUAACUCCGAAUGUAUACGUUGUCCGGCGCAACGUAACCCUCCAGCUGGAAGUUAGAAGCCAUACACUCCAAUCAAACUUUAACUCUUUAAGUUGUCAUAAACCCCAUAAUCAUUAAUACUUUCGCUCACAGUCAAUUAAGACCCCGUCUCUCACGAGCCCUAAUCCUAUUGUCCAACGCCUAAAGUUCGGCUAGAUCCACUAAAAGACUCAACCCUUAGGCUCUGAUUACCAAAUUAAUCAUGUCACGCCGGGUACCGGCGGCAGGCCUCCGGCUAGCGUGUCCCAGACCCGCAUAUGUCUACAACAGUAAUAAGGCGUCUACAAUAAAAGCGGAAGUAAACGGCAAGCAGUAAGAACAAAUUUUAGAAGAAGUUGAAAUGACUAAAACUAAAUGAUAUCAGAGCGCAUGUAAAGUAUCAUAAAUCUACACCAAUAGUAAUAGAAAAACUUAAACACAUAAAGUAAACAUAUUAUACAGUAUCAGCUCUAUACAAAAAUGGUGGUCAACUAAUACCUGCGUAGAACUCUCAACUCUCCAAAAUAAAACACAACGAGAGGUAGACCACAGCGAAUCAGUCUACGGAAGGAAGCUAGCUCGAAGCACACUCCCUCCGCGCGGCUCCCUUGGGCCUCACCCUGAGGCGAAGCUCUGAAACAUCGAGAAAGAAGAGGCUGAGAACUUAAUUUAUAGUUCCCAUGGGCAAUUUACUGACUAGCUCUGUCACUAGGCCCCAAAAACAAGGGUAAAGUAAUGCUAUAGUAAUUAGCAAUAGAAAGGAAGUAUGCUAAAUCAACUGCUGAAAGAGAGUGCAUAAGUAAAUUGCAUAUUACUAAUAUAUCCCUAAUAGACGAUAGUCAAAAUAUUGUACUUAUAUUCCAUAUCAUAGGAAAAGAUAACCAAUGACAAUAAUUUACUAAUACAACCUUAUUUCAAACCAUGAUGUAUAAGACCUCUAUCGUGGAACCAAGUAUACUUGUGAUAGAAAUAGGUAACUGUAAGUUACUAACAUGUCUCAACCCUAUGCAUAUAUGCAUGUAAAUGCUACCUCCAAAACUACUAAUGGCCUACUAGUAGGGAGUGUUCAUUUUCAACUGUGUCGAUUUCCAUUUCCAAUUAGGGACCUACAAGGUAGUUCCAAGCUUGUGCCACCUAAGGCCUGUGGUAUAGCCCGACAUUCCUACUCAUGGAAUGUGUCUGUCCCACUCGACCCCGUACGCUUCUCGAUACGCAACUGAGCGAAAUAAGGUCGAUAGGACUACUCCGGAGUGCCAGCGUAGGAGCGACCCUCACAGGCAUGUGCGAAUGAGCACAAAUUUGAGCAAGCAAGCAAAGUCCAAAAGUCUCAGAAUAUCAAAUUCUCAAUGUCAUCUAACAUGCGUAAAGUCACUAGCAUCCGAAGAUCUGUUUAAAAUCACAAUGUGACAGUCUUCAACAUUUUGCCACGCCUAGUGGCCCCUUAAUGACACUUAGGCAAUUUGUGUGUCGACUAUGUAUCCAAAGUCCCUCGAUGCCACUAUCCACUAGGUUCACACAUGUCCCGGAGCUACAAUGCCGCUUGAUGACAUAUAAGCUCUCUAAUUCACAAUGACUUCUAAAUGACAAUCUUGUCAAUUUUCAGUCACAAGUAAACUUAGGUUUAAAUGCAUGAAUGCCACUCAUUUUACUAUAGAAGCAUGCGAUACACGUCUCACAUGAAUGCUAAAUGCAACUUGGCCUAAUAAGCUACUUCUUCUACUACAUAAGAGGUCACAAAAUUUUUUAUACAUAACAUUAGGCCUUUUAAGCAUUCUAAAUUUCACAUAUAAAUACAUAUACACAGAAUAUGCAAUGCUUUUUAUUCUAACAACACUUAAAUUAUAGCACAAAUGAGAAUUUGCUCAAUUGUGUGGCUUCAGGUCAAAACCCACCGAACCGUUCGCGGUAGAGCUCGCCUGCCGAACCAAGUUUGUCGCGGGAGAGUCUCAAAAUACCCUAAAAGUAAAUCAGCGAAGUGAUCGAGGCAUUACGAUCAUCAUAUAAGAUCAAGUUUUACCUAGAAGCAAAUAGCGCAAACUCGCCUCAAGAGCAGAAAUCUCUUCAAAAAAUCUAAAGAGAGAUAGAACCUUCCCAAUCCAAGCCCUAGGAGAGGUUUUAGACCAUUCAAUUUUAGCGCCAAAACGCCCAUAGAUCAAAAAGCCCAAAACCACCCUAAAUCUCAUUUCUAGUGUUUUAAAAAAGCAAAAAGCUUCCAAACUUAAGACUCUAGAGGCGAGGAACCUUGCCACCAUACCUCUUAGGAUGCCUCCAAAUCCAAGCUCAAAAUCUUCUAGGGGUGAAGAUUGGUCCAACCACCAAGCCCUUUCAAGCAAACGCUCCAAGCCUUGCAAGGUGGGAAAAGAGAGAAAAGGUUGGUUGAGCUCCUAAGCUCCUCCAGCUAGCUCCUCUUCUCUUCGCUACUCUUUUCUUCUCUCUCUAGAAAGUGUGGGAGAGCGCGUGAGAAUGAGAGAAAUGGAGAGGGAAGAGGAUGGAAUAGGCUAAUAAGGCCCAUUAGCUGUAACAAAAUCCAGAGAGGCCCCCUCAAAUAAUCAAUAUUGCAUCAGACCGAACCUGGGCAGUUUCGCCCAGAGGGACCGGUCUCUUCCAGCCAGGGACCGGCUCUCGCGCCGGGUGCGAACCCGAAAACAGCGUUCGGGACCGGUCUCUCCCGUGCCCGGACCGUCUCUCACUGCGAGAACUAGCGACUGGGAAACCGGUCUCGCCUGCCAGGGACGGUUGCUCAGGCUUGCCUCAAACACUUGGCCAUGGAGGCGACCGGUCUCUCCUUUCAGGGACCGAUCCCCGGAGAGUAAAAACUCUCAGGAUUUGUCCAGAAAUUCCAGUUUCGACUUUUAGGUCGGAAAAACAUUUACAACCUCACUAAGUGUGGAAAAAAAGCUCGAAAAUACAUUCACAACACUCGAACCUCGCAAUUUGCCAAAGUCGUCCCAGUGUGCUUACAUUAGAUAUCCUGGUAGUAGGAGUAGAGUACUUCUAGGUCGCUCCAUAUCGUUGACCUAUCUUGGUCUGUGGAUCCGAUCUGUACCUAGUUACGCGUCGCUUCUGCAUUCCUCUACUCAGUUAUCCAUAUUGAUAAAUCAUGCUUUAGGAGUAGGUUGAGUUAUCGUGUUCACUUAUCUGUGAUUUGGUUGGCGGUCCCUUAUUUUGAUAUCUAUGACCUAUUCGGUCGAGUUGCUACACUUCAUAUCUUAACAUACGUAGCCGAUAGUUUGCUGGGCCUAUACGGUCGGCGUGCUGUGGCCCUGAGGGGCGAAUUGCUCGGCUAGUUGCCGAUGGAUGAUCGUUGAGCAUCUUCAUUGAUCGCCAUUGCAGGUACGCAUUUUCACGAACACCAGCGGUCUGAUCCAACGCAAGAGGCUGUUCUUUCGGAAAGUGGUUGGAUUGCAACCCGUGAGCCCAGGGCUUUAUUGCGGCGGUAUAUGCUUCUGACCCAGGGGCUUCAUUGCCGAGCGUCAAGGUGCAGUUGAGCAGAGUUGGCAUGGGCCUGAGGGUCUAUCGGACCAAUCGGGGCAGCCGAGAUUGGGUACUGUUUUGAGCUUAUCGUGCAGUUACGCAUGCAUACAGUAGCUGUGUUAGUGUUUAUUUUAGUACAUCCUAUCGUUUAUUGUAAGCUAAUGUUUUAUUUACUGUCAUCUAUAUCUUGUCAGCUCCUUACUGAUCAGCAUCUUUAUUACCAGCACUUAUGUCUAUCUAGUUCUUCCGGUGUUGUUGUAUAGCUUUCUCCUGAUCCGAGUGUAGUACUCCUCGCCCUUCUUCGGCUUCGUACCCACUGGGAGGGGAGGACAUGUUUACAUGUUCUCACCUCCCCUAUAUUUUGCAGGCUAUCGCGGCCGAUGAGUAGUGGGACGAGACGUGAGGUACGUGUGUAGCGCGUUCGAUUAGAGCUUCCCGACCCAGGUUAUUUCGAUUUAGUUAUUAUCCUUGUAUUUCUGUUGAUAUACAGUUUAGUUAGUUUAUGUGGUUCAGUAUUUAUUACAUUUAAAUGUGGAUUUCUGGAUUUUGUAAAAUAAAAGGUUUUCUACCCCUCGUGGUAGCGUUUUUAAAAGAAUAAAGGUUUCUGUGUAGGAAACGGUUUUCAAAAGAUUUUUGUGGAUUUCUGUUUAAACCUUGAAUGUAAAAACUGUAAUGUGAAUGGUGAAUGUAUGAAUGUAUAGUUAUCUUUAUAUUCAUCUGGUUGUGGUUGUAUCCUGGUUGUACUGUGUAUUUGAUCGACGCCGUGCAAAUACAGGGGAGACUCUGUCCGUGUGAACAGUGGAUUCCCUGUAUUUGUGGCGGAUCUGGCAUACUCUGGGGUCAGGUUUUCAAAAAAAAAUUUUCAGACGCUUUUUCGCUUUGUUUUAAAUUGAAAAGGGAUCCCGGGGCGUGACAAUAAAAAUCAGGAUAAGUAUUCUGUAGGCCUCACAAAUUAAACUACUGAUAAAAUCAAAUUUUUUUUUCCAAUUUGUCUGAACUCUGUUCUACAGGCUUAAAAUUCAAAGAAAGAAAGGUGCCCCCAAAAAAAAGAGCAUGCCCCUCAGUUGCAGUAGUUUUUUGCACCACAAAAUGGAAAAGAGGAAUACUUCAAUACACCAUAUAAAUUUUGACUAUUUAUUUUUCUUAAUGGAUGAUUUAGAUUUAAUAUGAUUCUAGAGGUGAACUGCUAUUGAAGCAUAGGUACCAUUCACCAAGUACCUAUUUAAAAGGUAUUUUAAUCUUUAUAAAAUAGUUUGGUCCACAAAAUCAGUUUUAUCCAACUAAGAAUAUUGUGACCAUCUUAAAUACCUACAACAAUAGUUGAAUUUCAAAUUACAACCAAACUGUAAAUUUAAAUUCAAAACAACAUUUAAAACUUUAUAAAUCAAAUUCAAUUUUUUUGAAUAUAAAACAUAGAUUUAAAAUAAAACUUUUAGUUCCAAUUCAAAAUUUCAAUUUAAAUAAAAAAUUAAAAAUUUGGCUUUAAAAUUAAAAGUUUGAUUUAGAUUCAAAUUUAAAAGUUUAAUAUAAAUUUCAAAAUAAAAAUUUUACAUUACAAUACCAAUUUCAAAAAUUAAAUUUAAAUUCAAUAUUUUUUUGAGCUAGAUACUUAACAAAUUAGGUAUCAUCUAAUUUGGUAAGUUAUCAAAGUAAAUAAGAUAUUUAAUAUUUAAAGGAUGCUGACAAAUUUGGUAUAUACUAAUUUUUUUUUUCAAUAUUGUCAUGUUAAUUAAUUCAAAUCGGUAACCUGUUCAAUAGGUUACUUCAUGUAAAUCUCAACUAUACCCUUUACUAAUUAAGAAAUUAAAUUUUAAUAUUUAUGAUGUAUUGAAGCAUUAAUUCCUCAAUGGGAAAAGGUGUUAGGUUAACAAAAAAAAAAAAAGGUCUUCACUAAAUCCAAUCGAUAGAGUGCAAUAUAAUUUAUUGCUUAUGAUCGAGCGACAGAUUCUGAUAAUUAACCGGCCUAAAUUUACAUUGUUCGUCGGUCUCCACAGUUUGUUCCAUCAAUGUAAAAUCGAUCGGAUCCAGAAGAGACUCCGUUUUAUAGCUAUCCUAGAUGUAUAUAUAGUGAUAUUAACCAAGGAUCGACGAAGUUGUUCCUCUAAUUAAAAUUUCCCAGGAAAUGCAUGUUUUCUAGUGUUUAACCACUGUUUCAAUCAAACCCUAUUGUUUUCUUUAACAACUAAUUGUAUUAUCAAUUGGCAGGGAAUUAAAAAGAUUGAAUAUUAAUUGCUGCUACGUACGUCAACCUCCGGAAGUAGAUCAAAAUAAAAUCUGAACAGUUGAAGCAAAUCACUUAUGAAAUGUCUAGCUAAUUUAAGACUACGCACAGUAUUAAUUAUUAUACAUAUUGAUUUGUGGAUCAUGACCAACACGAUUUUCUUAAAUAAUUUAAGGUUAUUUUAUGACAUUAGCCAGUUUCCUAGACGGUUAUUUAUUUAUUUAUGACCAUUAAAUUAUUGGAAUAUUUACAUAACUACUAAAUUUGAAUAUAAAUUUCGAUAUUGACAAAAUUUGAAAUGUGGUUUAUAAUUAAUUGUUGUAAAGUAGAAUAUUUGUAGUUGUUUGAUAUUCUCAAUUAGCCAGAAUCAACGGAGAUGGAUGUCGUUACGAUUACUGCGAAUCUAAUUUUAAUUAUGUGUAUUUACAACUGUAUUCAAUUAAAUGAUCUCCAAAGGGAUUAAACCACUGCUCGGAAUUGCUACGGACUAAAUCAAAUGUGACGAGAAGGUAUAUAUAUAUAAGAUAGAAAAAAUUAUAUUUGUUUUAAUAAUGUAUCUUCCAAAUUACACCAAUUUAGUGAAGACAUAAUUUUCAUAUAUAUUUUUAUUAGAAUAUUAAAAAAUAUUAUUAUAAAUUGUGCUCUAAGCUGUUUUUUGUUGCAAUGAUAAUAUUUUAAACGACACUGUGUACCCAAAUACCGUACCCGUGCACUCUAAUAAAUAGAUGUAGAUGGUACUACGUAAGAGUUGUGAUAAGGUGAAUCACAUUGAUUGCCUCUAUCCUUCCGUAUGGUAGGUGAGCAUGCUCUCCUAACCCAGUUCAAACGUCAUAAUUUAGUUAAUUAUUAACUUUACAUCAUAGUUAGUUAAUUCGGACUCGGCAAAAAUUCAGUAUGAAAAUAAUUCGGAUAAAAUUCAUCUUUUAAUUUUUAAAUUCGUUGAAAAAGACGGCUAAAAACGAAUUUGGUAAUUAUUCAGAUACGCAAUUUAUACGGAUAUUAUACGUUCACCAAUUAAAAAUUCGAAAUAAAAAAUUCGGCUAUAUAAUAAAUAUAUAAUAAUUAAUAUACUAUAUAUAUUAUAAUUAUCAUAAUUUUUAUAUAUAGAUUAAAUAUAUUCAAAAUUAUAAUAAAUAUAUAUUAAUAAUAUAUAAGAGUUAUAUAUUUAGAAAUAUUAAUAAAUAAUUAUAAAUUUAUAAAUAAAAUAUUAUAUAUUUAUAAAUUAAAUUAUAUAACGGUGCUUGUAAAAGCACCAAGUAUUUAGUGCUUGUAAGUUUUUUACCGUUAGAUCUACUUUUCGGAUCAUUUUCAAUUGUUAGAUUAUACUAUUCAACAAACCACCCACUAAACCAUAGGGGACCCACAUCAUCUUAACCGCAUAUCUUUUAAUCCAAUGGCUAAAAAUCUACAAGCACCAAUAUAUAUAUAUAUAGCAGGGCUGCUGUGCUCUCAGGAGCACGGAGGCCUCCGUGCUCCUGAGCCGUUUUCGUUGAUGGAAUUUUCGAAUCGACGAUCGGCUCCGUUAGACUUGAUCUAGCGCAUUUGAAGUUUCUAGAAAAUAAUUUUUGCGAUUUUUUGAUAUCAUUUACCUAGUAAUUGAAAGGAUUCAAAAUUCAUAAUUUUUAAUGGUUGAUAUCUGCCGUUUUCAAGUUUAAUGGUGUAGAAAUAUUCAAAUCAGAUGAAAUUUUGAUACAAAAUUCUUUAUAUUAUCUACAACAAGAUCAAUAUUUUUCAUCGAAAGUUUUAGUGCUAUAUCACCACUUUUUAUAGGAUUUUUAUUUUCAGCCGUUAAAAAUUAUUGAUUUUAAAUCCUUUCGAUUGCUAGAUAAAUGAUAUUGAAAAAUCGCAAGAAUUAUUUUCUAAAAACUUCAAAUACGCUAGAUCAAGUUUAACGGAGCCGAUCGUCGAUUCGGAAACUCCAUCAUCGAAAACGGCUCUGGAGUACGGAGGCCUCCGUGCUCCUGAGAGCACAGCAGCCCUGCUCAUAUAUAUAUAUAUAUAUAUAUAUAUAUAUAUAUAUAUAUAUAUAUAUAUAUAUAUAUAUAUAUAUGUAAUGACUAAUGAGAAGACCUCCCUCUCAUACUGUCCACGAGGCUGAAGUGGCCUCGUUGACCGCGCACGAUUCAUGCCUUCAAAGCCGAGAUUUUUUUCACUGUUCCUCUUCCACUUUUCCGCGAACGGCCUCGGGCGAGAUGGCAUCUGCCGCCGCGGCUCUUGCUCCCGCACCGGCCAGGGCUGCAAAGGAGGAGGAGGACGACCCGGAUGAGUUCGGCGAUGAGAGCCACGACGACGCGACCCUCGGCCGCGAAUCCGCGACCACAAGGGCGGCGAUGACGCGACCCUCGGCCGCGAAUCCGCGACCGCGAGCGCCUUUUUCUGGUCGAAUCAUUCGCGAAUCGCGAAUAAUUCGCGAAUAAUUAUUUUUGACGAAAAAAUCACGUUUUUUUUUUUAACUUUUCGAAAAAAUACGAAAAGGGGCCGUUUGAUUCGUAUCUUAAAAAAUUCACGUAUUAAUCACGAAUUAACUAACUAGGCUUUACAUCAAAUAUAUCUCAGGUGCCUGUUUAGUUUUUUUUUUUUUUAUCUCUUUAUGUUUUAAAAAUCUUUAUAUUGCCUCUUUAAACUUUGCAGUUCAAAGCUUAAUUAUUUUACAUCUCAAAUUAAAUUAAUUUUUUUCAAAAAAAAACUAAACAGGCACCUAACAUGCUAAUAUAUAUAUAUAUAUAUAUAUAUAUAUAUAUACAGUUAGGGUGGUAUACUAUCGGUAGCACGGAGGCCUCCGUACUUUCAAGUUGUUUUCAAUGAUACGGCUUCCAAAUCGACGAUCGGCUCCGUUAAACUUGAUCCACACUAUAAAAAAUAUUUGAAAACUAAAUUUCAUAAUUUUUCGACAUCAUUUGGCUAGUGAUCAAAAGGUCUUAAAAUUGACAAUUUUAAUGGUAGAUAUGAUGCAUUUGUAAAUUUAACAGUGUAAAACAAUUCAAAUCAAAUGAAAUUUUUAUAGAAAAUUUUUUUUACUAUUUGUAGUAAGAUCAGUACCUCUGAUCUUAAAUUCAAGUUUUCUAUUAUCAUUUUUUAGGAGAUUUUUAUUUUCAGCCAUUCAUUUUUAGACUACACUUUUGAUAGGAAUGAUACCGAAAAAUUAUGAAAUUUAGUUUUUAAAUAUUUUUAAUAGUGUAGAUCAAGUCUAACGGAGCCGAUUGUCGAUUUGAAAGUGGCAUCAUUGAAAACAACUUGGUAGCAUGGAGGCCUCCGUGCUACCGAUNAAUGAUACCGAAAAAUUAUGAAAUUUAGUUUUUAAAUAUUUUUAAUAGUGUAGAUCAAGUCUAACGGAGCCGAUUGUCGAUUUGAAAGUGGCAUCAUUGAAAACAACUUGGUAGCAUGGAGGCCUCCGUGCUACCGAUUGCAUACCAGCCUAGCUCUCUCUCUCUCUCUCUCUCUCUCUCUCUCUAUAUAUAUAUAUAUAUAUUCAAAACAAAGAGUUGUUGCAUUUAAUUUUCUACUAUUAUAUAAUUUCGUUAUUUUUUCGUGUAUAAAUUGUAUGGUAUAUCUCAAAAAGUUAUUAGAAUAUUUAUUAUAUUCUUAAAAGUGAUGGAGAAAAUAAUAAUUUUAUAUUAUCUCUCAAAUUAGGGUAAUUAUAUAAAAGUGAUUUCUAACCAUUAACUAAUUAAAUGAGUAUGCUAGUAAUAAUUAUUCCUGACACACCAAAUAAUUUAUGCAUAAAAUAAUGAUAAAAUUAUAAUAGUAUCGAAUUUAGUGCUACAGCUCUAAAUUUUAAGAAGCUAAAAUAAAAAUUUGUAAAAGACAGUGCGUAAAACAAGAAACAAAUUUUUAUAAAACAAAAUUCCCGUAUUUGAGCCUUAAUACAGUUUGACCGUCUCAUAUUACAAAAUACAACUUUAUCUAAUGGGAUAUAUAUUGACACACAAUUAAUAUUAAUUAACGUCUUAUUAAUAUUCCAUGGAGAAGUUUGAGAACAAGAUCCGUCCACGGCAGUUUGGAUUUUUAAUAUGGGAUAAUAAUCAAAACCAAAACCACGUGGCUCCAAAAGUACUUGAAACGGAAUCAGCGUGGCAUAAGGAACUUACACGGCAACGGCAUCUUAAGUCGAUCACCAGCAUUUGGACUAACUGGCACACAAUUUAGUCUUGAAUAAAAUCACAAACAUCGACCGCAUCCGCCGCCCUGCUUUCCGCUGGCCGAGUCGUCCGGAGCCAAAUAUGUUAUAUAUGGUACAGACAUCUAAAAUUCAAUAAAGCUUCGGCUUGUGCAAAAAAUGUUAAUUGGAUACAUUUGAAGUUACUGAGUACCGCUAAUGCUCCUAAAAAUUUUCUUUUAAAAAAAAUAAAAAAAAAAGAAAAAGGAAAGAAAAAGAAGAAGAAAAUACAUUAAUACAGACCAAUUAAUCAUGCAACACUUGUUAAUUUAAUAAGGGCAAACAAUUUUUUUUCUAGAAAAAUUUAAUAUAAAAAGAUCGUAACAAAAUUUUACUACCACUAUUCUUUGUUUAAUACUUCAAUACCUGUAAUUGGCUUUUUGAUUAUGAGCCUAAGAAAUUUUGCUUACACAUCCACAAGUAAAAUGUAAAUGUUAUACCGAUCCAUCCAAAAAUUUAAAAUUUUUUUUAAUUUUUUAAUGUUAAAAAAAAUAAAAUUAGUAAAAAAUUAAUUUUUUUAAAUAAGCAGAUUGUAUGAUAUACACACAUUAUUGGAUAUAGAGGUACAUAGCAUCACUUAAUGAGCAGGUAUCGUACAUACAACCCUUUUCUCUCCCAACUUUAGUUGGGUACAAGUACUUUUCAGAGUAUUCAUUCAGUGUGCCAAGAGUCUUUCUUUCAUGGGGAAUUGCUUAUAUAACUCUAAAAAAAAUUUCGACUUUCUGAUUUAUUUUUUUUAAAAGGCUAAUAUUAAAAAUAUUUUUUUUACGUUCCAACCUAUUUCAAAUAUAUUCCUAGAGUUAAAAUCUGUUAAUAAAUUCUGUUAUCUGUAUAAAAUUACUAUUUUAUCCUUUCAAAUAUACUAUUCCACCAUCACCGAUUUUUUUUAUUUGCCCUUAAGUCAUGGGCACAAAAAGUAUUUUGACUUUUGGUCUUUUCAAAUAUACCCCUCUACCAUCACCAACAUUUCUUAUUUAUCCUUUAAGUUAAGGGCAAGAUUGAUAUUUUAAUUUUUUAAAAUUGUGGUAGAUAUUUAACUUACAUUUAACCCAAGUUAACUUAACAGGGGAUAACUGUCGGGGUAUUUUUCAAUAACGGUGGAACAUAUGAGAGAUAUUUUAGAAAGAAAAAAAAUAGGAAUAAAUCGGAUAUUUUCAAACGCAUGAGUGGUAUAUAGACAAUUAUUCCUCUUUUUAUUAUCUCAACUUACCAAUAAAUUUCAAAUGCACCCUUUUAAAGUUUUCAAAAUUUUGUUGAUGCCCCUUCAUAAUCUAAAACUUAUAUGUAUAGAGAGGGGGGGGGGAGAGAGAGUGAGAGAGGAGAGAGAGAAAUCGACUACCAUACCAUCGAUAGUACUUGACAUUUUAGUGCUAUCCGAGUUUUCACCAAAUAGAUCUACUGAUUUUGACAUUUUUAUCUGUUAGAUUAUACUAUUCAUACCAAUUACACCCACUCAAGUUCUAAUGAGAGCCACUAUUUGCAUUCCUAGAUUAUCGCACAUUGUUUCAUGCAAGAGUCUUAAAUGCUAAUAGCAUUAAUGCUUUGGUACUAAUUGCGAUCCGUCAUAGUGCCAAAUUAUAUAUAUAUAUAUUUAUAUAUAUACUAUAUAUAUGAUAUAUAUAUAAAUAAUAUAUAUAUAGUAUAUAUAUACUAUGAUAUAGUAUAAUCUAUAUGUUAUAUCUGAGUGGCGUCGGUAUGCUUCUGGAAGGCAACGGAGCGCUUACGUGCUUCCAACUUGUUUUCGAUGUUCGCCUUUCGAAUCGUACGAUGGGCUCGUAGACUUAUCUAGAGUGUUUAAAGUAGUCUAGAAAAUAAAUUAUUGCGAUUUUUCGAUAUCAAUUUGCCUAGUGUUCGAGUGACUCCAAAUCCAACGGCUGAAUAAUAAAAAUCUAGCAAAAUAUGAUGAUAUGACAUUAAAAAUUUUAGAUCAAUUGAUUAUUUGAGUAUAUAGUUUAUCGCCGUAUAACGACUAAGAAUUUCUAACUCUUCAUCAUAAUUUCCAUCCCGCUGAUUUGGAAUUUUCCUAACACGCCGCUUAAUCUUGGCCAAACGGCCUUCACUCACCGCGGCCAUUCAAAAUUAUUGAUCUUUGACCCUCAUCCUCUUGGAUCACUUGCAAAUCAUAUUGAAAAAUCAGCAAAAAUUUAUUUUCUAGGUACUGCGUUCCUCACAAACGCUCUUAGACAACUCUAACGAGCGAUCGUCAAUUCGAAAGUCCCGAAUCACAACAUCGAAAAUCAACUUUGGAGGCGCCUGGCAUUCGAGGCUCCGUACCUUUCAGAAGGCAUAGUACCCCUCACUCUAUAUAUAUAUUAUAUAUACUAUAUCAUAUAUAUAUAUGAGUGAGGCUAUUAGCUUCUGGACAGCUACGCAAGCCUUCCCCAUCUCUCCAGGUCAUUUUCGAAUGUGCGAUUUUCGAUGUCCGAUCGCUCGUUAAUACUUGAUCUACGAAGUAUUGAAGUACCUAGAAAAUAAAUUUGUAAUUUUCGAAUCAUUGCCUAGUUGAUCGAGGGCACUCAAAUAAUAAUUAUACAGACAUACUCACGUGGUGAGCUGUUUGCCAGUUUAACGGUGUAAAAAUAUCCAAAUCACGUGAAAUUUUUAUAGAAAAUUCUUUAUAUUAUAUUAAACAAGAUCAAUAUCUUUGAUCUAAAAUUUUAAUGUCAUAUUAUCACGUUUUGUAAGAUUUUUAUUUUCAGCCGUUGAUUUUGAGCCCCUUAGUUCACUAGGCAAAUGAUAUCGAAAAAUUGCAAAAUUUAUUUUCUAGGUACUUCAAAUACUCUAGAUCAAGUUUAAUGAAGACGAUCGGCGAUUCGAAAGUCGCAACAUCAAAAACGACCUAGAAACAGGGAAGGCUCCAUGCUUCCAGAAGCAUAAUAGCCUUAGUCAUAUAUAUAUAUAUAUAUAUAUAGGCUAAAUUACAGAAAACCCCCCUGUAAUAACCCGUUUUUUCACUUCCCCCCCUGACAUUUAAAAACCUACACUUUGCCCCCCUGUAAAAUGAAAAAUGUUCACAGGGAGGUUACGGUGUAUAAAAUGACCAGUUUGCCCCUCGCCAUUGUCGUCUUCUUCCCCAUCUUCCUCAACUGCCCCUUCGUUCGGCCGCGAUUUCUCUCAAUUUUCUUCUCCACCUGCUCCCCUUCUCCUCCCGCACCCUCGCCGCCCUCGAUUUCGGCGAUAGUAGGAGAAAACCGAGGUGGGCGACAGUAGGAGAAAGGCAAAGAAGGCGAAGGCGAAGCAGCGGAGGACGGCAAAGGGGAUGUGGGUGAGGGCGAGGCAGUGGAGGACGGCGAGGCGGCUAGGCGGCGAGGCGGCGAGGCAGCGGCGAGGUGGCGAGCCGGAGGGAGUCGAAGCAACAGGGAGAUGGCGGAGGGGUAUUUUCGGCAUAAAAAUAUAUUUUUUAAUGGAACCCUGGCGAAACCCUAACGGUAGGGGGUGAAGUGCACAUUUUUUAUUUUACAGGGGGGCAAAGUAUAGGUUUUUAAUUGUCAGGGAGGGAAAGUAAAAAAGCAGGUUAUUACAAGGGGGUUUUCUGUAAUUUAGCCAUAUAUAUAUAUAUAUAUAUAUAUAUAUAUAUAUAUAUAUAUAUAUAUAUAUAUAUAUAUAUANNNNNNNNNNNNNNNNNNNNNNNNNNNNNNNNNNNNNNNNNNNNNNNNNNNNNNNNNNNNNNNNNNNNNNNNNNNNNNNNNNNNNNNNNNNNNNNNNNNNNNNNNNNNNNNNNNNNNNNNNNNNNNNNNNNNNNNNNNNNNNNNNNNNNNNNNNNNNNNNNNNNNNNNNNNNNNNNNNNNNNNNNNNNNNNNNNNNNNNNNNNNNNNNNNNNNNNNNNNNNNNNNNNNNNNNNNNNNNNNNNNNNNNNNNNNNNNNNNNNNNNNNNNNNNNNNNNNNNNNNNNNNNNNNNNNNNNNNNNNNNNNNNNNNNNNNNNNNNNNNNNNNNNNNNNNNNNNNNNNNNNNNNNNNNNNNNNNNNNNNNNNNNNNNNNNNNNNNNNNNNNNNNNNNNNNNNNNNNNNNNNNNNNNNNNNNNNNNNNNNNNNNNNNNNNNNNNNNNNNNNNNNNNNNNNNNNNNNNNNNNNNNNNNNNNNNNNNNNNNNNNNNNNNNNNNNNNNNNNNNNNNNNNAGGUUGGUAUGCUUCUUCGGAGCACGGAGCCUUCCGUGCUUUAAGUCGUUUUUCGAUGUUGGAGACUUUCGCAAUCGAGGUUGUCAGCUGCUUCGUUAAACUUGAUCUAGAGUAUUUGAAGUGGCUAGAAAAUAAAUUUUGUGAUUUUUCGAUAUUAUUUGCCUAGUGAUCGAAGGGGCUCAAAAUCAAUAAUUUUAAUGGCCGUGGUGAGCCGUUUGCAAGUUUAACGGUGUAGAAAUAUUCAAAUCACGUGAAAUCUUGAUCGAAAAUUUUUUAUACUAUAUAAAACAAGAUCAAUAUUUUUGAUCUAAAAUUUUAAUGUCAUAUCAUCAUAUUUUGUAAGAUUUUUAUUUUCAGCAGUUGAUUUUAAGCCACUUCGAUCACUAGGCUAAUGAUAUCAAAAAAUCGCUAAAUUUAUUUUCUAGAUACUUAAAAUACUCUAAAUUAAGUCUAACGGAGCUGAUCCUCGAUACGAGGUUGGUAUGCUUCUGGAAGCACGGAGCCUUCCGUGCUUUCAAGUCGUUUUCGAUGUUGAGACUUUCAAAUCGAGGGUCGGCUUCGUUAAACUUGAUCUAGAGUAUUUGAAGUGGCUAGAAAAUAAAUUUUGUGAUUUUUCGAUAUUAUUUGCCUAGUGAUCGAAGGGGCUCAAAAUCAAUAAUUUUAAUGGCCGUGGUGAGCCGUUUGCAAGUUUAACGGUGUAGAAAUAUUUAAAUCACGUGAAAUUUUGAUCGGAAAAUUUUUUGAUACUCAGAUAAAACAAGGUCAUUAUUUUCUGAUCUAAAAAUUUUAAUAUGUCAUAUCAUCAUAUUUUGUUAGAUUUUUAUUUUCAGCGUGUUGAUGUUUAAGCACCAUUGCGAAUCACUUUAGGCUGAUGAUAUCAAAAAAUCGUAAAUUUAUUUUCUAGCCUACUAGUGAAAUGCUCACCAAUUAUAGUCUAAACGUAGCUCACAUCUCGAUUCGACGUUCCACAAACGAAACAAUUUCGAAAGACGGACGUCUCCGUGCUUCAAAAGCAUACCCACCCUCACUCAUAUUAUGUUUAGUUAAUAUAUUUAGAGCUAGGCUAAAUGAUACUAUUAAUGGUACCAAGUCGAUUGGUGCUACCAAAUUUUACAUUGGAUUAAGAGAUGUGCGGUUAAGAUGAGUGGCCCUAGGGUGAGUGGAGUGGUUCGGAUUGAAUUGUAUGAUCUAACGGACAUGAGAAAUGAUCAAAAGGGUAGAUCUAACGGCAGGAAACUGGUAGCACCAAAUGUUGAACUUCGUGCUAUUAUAGGAAGUAGCGGACUCUUUAUAUAUAUAUAAUCCCGCUAUGGAGCUUGUAAAGCCACCAAGCAGUUAGUGUUUCUAUUCAUUAGAUCAUACUAUUCAACCAAUCUACCCAUCUCAACCCUAGCGGAUACUAUAUAUCCUAACCGUAAUCUUUAAUCUAAGACUUUGAAAAUUGCAGCCACUAAUGACUUGGUAUAUUUUUCAAGCAUAGGGAUCUCAAAUUCUCUCUCUUCUCUCUCUCUCAAGCCUCUUGCACUUCUCUCUCUCUUUUCCCCCCAUAUCAUCACCGUACAUAAUAAUAUGUGCAUGUAUUUUAUAGGUAGGAUAUAGUACCGCUACUAUAUAUUAUAUAUAUAUUAUAUAUAUAUAUAUAUAUAUAUUAUUGUGCUGUGUGUGUGUGUGUGUGUGUGUGUGGUGUGUGUCGGCGUGUGUGUGUGUGUGUGUAUAUAUAUGUGCUUGUGUGUGUUACUAUAUAUAUAGUUAAUAUAUGUCGUGUUGUUGUGUGUGGGUAUAUAUUAUAUAUAUAGUGUGUGUGUGUGUACUUCAUUAUAUUAUAUGUGUGUGUGUUAUAUAUUAUAUAUUGUGUGUAGGAAUAAUAUAAUAUAAGUAUUGUAUAUAUAGAUAUAUGAUAGAGCUACUACACUAUCGAAAGUAUAGAGGAUCUGAUGCUUCCAACUUUUUGACUAUUGGAUUAAAAAUUAUACGGUUAGGAUGAUUGCGGUCCCCCCAGGGUUGAGUAGUACUCCUAGGGUUGAGUGGUCUCCACAGAGUAAUAAUAUUAAUCCAAAGGUUAGAAUGAUCAAAGGGAUUGAUCUAAGGGCCAAAAAAUCGAAAGUACUAGAUCCUCUAUGCUUCCGAUAGCAUAGUAGCUCUACUAUAUAUAUAUAUAUAUAUAUAUAUAUAAAAUUGAGCUAGAAUACUUUUAGAAGUAUUACCCCCUUGGUGCUUCUAGGUUUUUAGCCCUUAGAUCUACUCCUUGAUUACUAAUAGCCAUUGGAUCAAGCACUAUUCCACUUACCGCCACCUACCACCACCAACCACCAUCAUCUCAACCUUAUAUUUCUCAAUCCAAGGGUUAAAAACUCCAAAGCACCAACCGCUUGGUGCUUUUGAGAGUAUUCUAGCUCAACUCUCUCUCUCUCUCUCUCUCUCUCUCUCUCUCUGUGUCACGUCCCGAGACCGCUACCAAUUUGGUCCGGUCCGGGCGCGUCGAACAGACGCCGAACGGACAGGACCUCCCUUGUCCGCCCAAGGCUAACCACUGAUCAUGUAUAAGAACUUAUCCAAGAAUCAGUUCAUAAAUACAUGAUCACAAAGAGCACCACCAGUGCUAACAACCAAGAGCAGGAUACAAGUAUGAGACAUACAAGUAAAUAAAGAGAGAAAGCUCUAUCUAUUACAUUCAUUCAACUUAAUACAUUUAAUACCAUCUUUUACAUUCUUCUAAAACAUGUGUACAAGCACUCUCAAACCUCACUUUAUACAACAUCUACUCUCAAACAUAAAUAUAGGGUGGAGCUAAUGCAAAAUAGGUGGAUAGCUAAUGCAACUAGAGCGCUAAGCCCUUACCACGAUCCUCACGCUCGCCGGGGACACCCGAGCUCGAACCUGAAAAGAGUGGGGUGAGAACUAUCUUCUAUAGUUCCCAGUUGGUUCGGCCGUCGACUCCGCCGAUCUCCCCACUAGGUCCAAGUGGGUACAAAUAGAUAAACCGAUAGAUAGAUAUGGAAAGCUGUAAUAACAGAAUAGCAAGCUACGCUACCAUGCCCGAAUCAUAUAUAUGAAGAUGCAUGCACAAUGAAAUGAAUAAUCAACUAGCUCUUCAUAUGUCCAAGAAGUAAAGUGUUCAUUAAUCUCGUGGCUCAUUCAAGGAUCCGCCUACUACUCACAUAGCCGUCUCGAUACUACGAAUCCGAGACCGUCUGCGGGACCCCACAUAGGCCAUCCCUCGGGACCCCAAAUAGGCCAUCCCUAUCCCACGGGACUCCAAAUAGGCCAUCCCUCAUGACUGACUCCGGAGCGAUCUACUUGUGUGGAGCGACCACCACAAGUCGGGAACAGACAAUGAGUAUGAUCCAAUUCUCUCACCUCACGGGUGCCCUAUCCUUUAGGGUUACUACCACCAUAGUCAAUGGGUUUCAUAUACGCUACGACUCACACGUGCCACUCGUUCUUUGUUUAAUUAACAACUAGAUGCCACUCGUUCUUUCAUUUCAACUAUUGCAUCGUUCUUUCACCGUUGCACUAUAGGAUUACAAGUCUCGACCCAAUCCUCAUCAAUCCCCUAUAUCCAGCAACUAAUGCAUAUUAUAAUAUCAGCUAGGAAGGCAUAAAGAAAGGCGAUACACAAUUAUCCUACAAUGCAUGUGAACACAGGAUGCAAGAUCUCAAGUACUAAGACAUAAAAGGGAGCCCGAUUGCUUCGAGAUGGUCACCACCCACCUCUUGGUGAUGCCGCGACGGUGGAAAACUCGACGCUGCGGUCCUUGCACGUCGCUUCAACUCCUCGGGGCGAAGCGAGCCCUCAAGCACUCGUUUUGGCGAUAACUCCGCACUCGCUCGACGGAUUAACGAACCGUCUUCGCCGACGCGUUCAGGGACCUAGCAAUUAGGUUUACGACCUAUUAAAAUAGAUCAAAACCCUAGAUUUCCAAAAAUUCCGAAUCCGUGCCCUAGGUUAGCAACGGUGAGGAAAUCCGUGGUGCGAGCUUCAAAUGCGAGCCCGAACCAUCUAUUUAUCUCCUCUAAGUUCCAUUCGAACCAUUUCUAAGCAAUAAAACCCAAUCUCAAGAAAUUCACCAUGGAUGGGUUUGAGGCUUACCUCUACACAAAGCUCCAAGCUUGCUCUAGCUUGAAGGAGAGAGGGAAGAAGAUGAUCUUUUUCUUCUUCUUUGUCUUCUCCUUCCUCUUAUUCUUCUUUUCCUUCAUUUUCUUCCUCUCCUUCUUCUUCUCCUUCUUUUCUUUCUAGAGAGAGAGAGGGAAAGGGUGUGAGAGGGUUAGAGAGCAAAUGAGAGGAAGAGAGGUCCCCCACCCUUUAUUAAAGGCUAUUUUGCAAAUAGCCCCCUCAACUUUUCAUCUUCUGAAUCAGCCCUCACUGGGCAUUUUCGCAGUGAGGGACGGGUCCCAGCUCGGGGAGACCGGUCCCCGAGAGCAUUCCAUCUCGGGCAGAGGGUAUUUCGCAUUCGGGAACCGGUCCUUGCCUGAGAGACCGGUCUCCCGUCCGUGCCUGAGAGACCGGUCCCCGGGAGACCGGUCCUUGUCCGAGAGACAGGUUCUUGAAAGUUGGAUUUUCGGGACUUAGCCAAUUUUCGGCUGUUCUCGCUGGGCCAACGUUCGGGAACCGGUCUUCCCCUACCAGGGACCGGUCGCCUCAAGGAUCCCUGCAGCCCAGCCUGAUGGGACCGGUCCCUCCCUACCAGGGACCGGUCCCCAAGAGCAAUUAUGCUCCAGUGCAGAUUUCACACUCGUGCUCUCGCGGACUCUUCUUUAAUGCACUUUAAGCAUUAUAAUCCCCUUCGGACUUUCCGAAGCUUACACACUCGACAAUCAGUCGAUUCUAAGCGAAGUAUAAUCCUCGGAUUUUGAGAAUCCGAGGGUUGGUCUACCACACACACACACCCUUCUCUCUCUCUUCUCUUCUUUCUUUCUCUCUCGUCUCUCUCUCUCUCUCCUCUCUCCUUCUCUAUCUCCUUAUAUAUAUAUAUAUAUAAUAUAUUAAUAUAUUAUUUAUAUAAUAUAUAUAUAUAUAUAGUAGGUCUUGUGUGCUUUUAGGAGCACGGAGACCUCCAUGCUCCUGAGCUGUUUUCGAUGAUGGAGCUUCCGAAUCGACGAUCGGCUCCGUUAGACUUGAUCUAGUAUAUUUGAAGUAUCUAGAAAAUAAAUUUUGUGACUUUUCGAUAUCAUUUACCUAACGGUUGAAAGGGUUCAAAAUCAACCGCUAAAAAUAAAAAUCUCACAAAAAGUAAUGAUAUAGCAUUAAAAUUUUCGAUCAAACAUAUUGAUCUUGCUGUAAAUAGUAUAAAGAAUUUUCUAUCAAAAUUUCAUGUGAUUUGAAAACUUCUACACCGUUAAACUUGCAAACGGUUAUAUCAACCAUUAAAAAUUAUUGAUUUUGAACCCUUUUGAUUGCAAGGAAAAUGAUAUCGAAAAAUCACAAAAAUUAUUUUCUAGAUAGCUCAAAUACGCUAGAUCAAGUCUAACGGAGCCGAUCGUUAAUUCGGAAGCUCUAUCAUCGAAAACGGCUUAGGAGCACGGAGGCCUCCGUGCUCCUAAUAGCACACAAGACCUACUCUCUCUCUCUCUCUCUCUCUCUCUCUCUCUCUCUCUCUCUCUCUCUCUAUAUAUAUAUAUAUAUAUAUAUAUAUAUAACUAAGCUGAAAUACUAUCAAUAGCACUAAGCUAUUGGUGCUAUUAGUUUUUUAGCCAUUGGAUUGAGAAAUGUAUGGUUAGGAUGAUGUGGGCCCCCUAGAGUUGAGUGGGUGGUUGGUUAAAUAAGAUAUAAUCUAACGGGUAAAAAUAAUCAAAGAAUAUAAAUUUAAUGGUGGAAAAUUGAUAUCACUAAGUUCUUGUACUAUCGAUAGACAUAGGGGUAUUCUUAAUAGAUAUAAGUAAUUAUAUAAUAUAAUAUAUAUAUAUAUCAGCUCCUAUUGCUUUUAAAAGUACCAAGUCAUUGGUGCUUGUAAUUUUUCGGCCCUUAGAUUAAGGAGGUGUCGGUCUAGGAUGAUGUAGGCCCCCUAGGUUGAGUGUUAGGUUAGUUCGAUGAUAGUAUAAUCUUUACGGGGUGAAAAUGUAUUAAAUGCGUAUAGAUCUAACGGUAAAAAAUUCACAAACAUAGUGCUUGAUGCUUUUACAGUACCAUAGUCGGACUCUCUCUCUCUCUUCUCUCUCUCUCUUCUCUCUCUAUUAUAUAUAUAUAUAUAUAUAUUAUAUAUAUAAUUGUACUAGAAUACGCCUAGAAGCACCAACCUCUUGGCGUGCUUUUAGUUUUCUAACCUUUAUCUACCUUUUGACUACUAAUAAACUUUGGAUUAAAACAUAUCACCUACCACUACCUACCACCAUCAUCCUACCCUGCAUCACUCCUUCAAGAGCUAAAAAGUUAAAAGCACAAACCGCUUGAUAUUUUUGGAAGUAUUGUAGCUCAACUAUAUAUCUAUAUAUAUAUAUAUAUAUAUAUAUAAUAUAAUAAUAUAUAAUAUAUAUAUAUAUAUAUAUAAUUGUACUAGAAUACGCCUAGAAGCACCAACCUCUUGGUGCUUUUAGUUUUCUAACCCUUGGAUCUACCUUUUGACUACUAAUAAACUUUGGAUUAAAACACUAUAUCCACCUACCACUACCUUACCACCAUACACCUACCCUGCAUCACUCCAUUCAAGAGCUAAAAAGUUAAAAGCACAAACGCUUAUAUUUUGGAAGUAUGUAGCAUCACCUAUAUAUCUAUAUAUAAAUAUAUAAUAUAUAUAUAUAUAUAUUGUAUAUAAUAUAUAUUAUAUAGUUAUAUAUAUAGAGAGAGAGAGAAGGAGAGAGAGAGGACGGAGAGAGGGAGAAGAGAGAGGAGAUGCACAAAAGCUGACAAGUAGAAGGGGGUAGAGACAAACCAGAGGGAGAGAAAGCCAGAGAGAAGGCGAAGAUGAGAUGAGAGAGAGAGUAGGUCUUGUGUGCUAUUAGGAGCACGGAGGCCUCCGUCCUCCUAAGCCGUUUUGAUGAUGGAGCUUCCGAAUCGACGAUCGGCUCCGUUAGAUUUGAUCUAGCGUAUUUGAAGUAUCUAGAAAAUAAAUUUUGCGAUUUUUCAAUAUCAUUUACCUAACGAUCAAACGGGUUCAAAAUUAAUAAUUUUUAAUGGUUGAUGUAUACCAUUUGCAAGUUUAAUGGUGUAGAAGUAUUCAAAUUAGAUAAAAUUUUGGUAGAAAAUUUUUUAUACUAUUUACAGCAAGAUCAAUAUCUCUAAUCGAAAAUUUUAGUGCUAUAUCACCACUUUUUUUGAGAUUUUUAUUUUCAGCCGUUGAUUUUGAACCCUUUCGAUCGCUAGGUAAAUAAUAUCGAAAAAUCACAAAAUUUAUUUUCUAGAUACUUCAAAUACGCUAGAUCAAGUCUAAUGGAGUCGAUCGUCGAUUCGGAAGCUCCAUGAUCGAAAACGGUUUAGGAGCAUGGAGGCCUCCGUGCUCCUAAUAGCACACAAGACCUACUAUAUAUAUAUAUAUAUAUAUACCCUCUAAAUAUAUGUAUAUUUAUUAUAAAGGUUCCUAUUGUCAAUUUUUAAAUACAUUCACUCGGGCUAAAAGAGAGUUAAACGCUCAUUAAGUUAAUAAAGUAAUGACAUCAUCAACGACUAUUAUUUAUAGGGAAAAUUAUUAAUAUAUAUUAUUAACGAAGAAAACACUUCAUGUUAGAAUUAAUUAUAAUAACUAUCAAAAUUGAUUUUUAACCAUCAAAGUUUAGGCCUUGUUGCCGAUAUUUUUAUUUUUUUAAAAUAAAAUUUCUAUACAAAGUAAUGCAAGUGGAAAUAGGGAUUGCUUGCAAUUCUUACGUCCCUGAUGUUUAUUUGACAACAAACAAUAAAAUUUUGAUAGUUAUUUUCAUUUACUUUCAAUUUUAUUUACAGGUAAAAAUGUAUACAACUUACCCAAACUAUAAAUCAUUUUGAUUGACCUACUCCACCUUUCAAAAUUUUGAUCUUACUAUCUAACUUUUCAAUUUGUUUGAUUUGAGUAAGUCAACGGCGUUUUGACUUCAAAAAUUUGAGUUUAUUAUUUAUCUUUUCAAGUUUUCAUAUAAUUUUAUAAUUAUAAAUUCCUUAAAGUUAGUAAUUAGCUUUAAUUUUGAAGUCAUAAUGUCGUUGAUUGACUCAAAUCAAACAAAUUGAAGAUUAGAUAAUAAAAUCAAAAUUUUUAAAGAUUAAGUAGCCAAAUUAAAAUGGUUCUUAAUUCAGAUUAGUUCUAUACAUUUUUACCUUAUCUUUAAAACAACUUAUCUUCCAUCAUUUAGUUAUAGUGUCUUGUAAGUUAAUCAAUCCUGACAAUACGAGGAAAGUUAUUCUAUUGAGUAAAUUAAAUUGUAUAGAAUUAGCAUUUAUUGACCGUCCCUAAAGCAAGUGGCAAAGAACUUGGUGGUUGAUACCCGAGUUCCCAAGUUCGAAUCCUAAUUGAUUCACAUUUCACUAUAACAAAAGCGGUCUAUAGCGACACUUUUAAAUAUCGGUAAAGCUUAAAAAAAGUGCUGCCGGCUAAAUUACCGAUACUUUUAAAAAGUGCUGCUAUAUGUGGGGUCGUUAGGUAUAUAGUGACAGUUAAAGACUGUCACUAUAAUCUAAAAAGAGUGUUGUUAAUUUACCAACACUUAUUUAAAUAUUUAGCAACCGUCGACACUCUACUUCGUUGGCUGCGGUGGCGGAGAAGGACGAGAGGAAGGGAACACUUAUUUAAACAUUUAGCAAACCGUCGAAACUCUACCUCGUUGGGUGCGGUGACGGAGAAGAACGAGAGGAAGGAAUCUUCGUCUUGGAUUUCAGUGGAUUGAGUGAGGGGAGAAGGGGAGAUGGUAAUCGGGUCGAAUGGGCUGGGUAAGGUGGGUUAAGUAGAGUACUCUUUUAUUUUUUGUUGGAUUGGGCUUUAUAUUUAGUCAUUAGUAGAUUUUUUUUUUUAAGUUUUGGCAUAAAUGGGACACUUACACAAAAGUGUCCCAAACAUGUGUCCCUAUAACCUAAUUCUGUUGUAGUUUUUCCAGCUAAGUUUAUUUCUAAAUGAAAUAAAUGAAGGGGGUAGCGUGCUACCUAUCUCUCUCAAAAGAAAAAAAAAGUAUAGAAUUAGCAUUUUUAAAAAUAAAAAGUGCAAUGACACUAAAGAAGACCUAAAAGUUAAUUUUGUUUAUCUCCAACCUAAAUUUUAGCAUAUAUAAAAAUGUUAUGUUACGUUAUUAUUAUUUGUCCAUUAAUGCUUCUUAACUAUUUGAUUAUUUUUAGGUACUGUAAUUUAAUAAAAUUUAUUGGCACAUAAUUAUUUUUAAAAUUUUAAAAGUAUGAAUGAUAAAAGUUAAGUUAUAAAGUUUAGAUGGCUAUCUAUAGAUCUGUAAAUGUGUGAAAAAUGUGGUUUUGAGGUAUUUAAUUCUCUCUUUGUUUAUUAUAGAAUUUCUUUCCAUAAAUGAAAGGAGAAUUUUACUGUGGCCACGCGUCGCCUCCUCAGCGACCCCCCAUCCUUCUCAGUUCUGAGGGAGGGGCGGGCUCUCUCUCUCUCUUUCUCUCUCUCUCCCUUUCCCUAUCUCUGGCUCCCUCUGUCUGUCUGUCUCUCUCUCUUUCUCUCUCUCUUUCUCUCGCGCGAGCGUGGGCGCCGGGCGCUGGUCGCGCACAUAGGCUCUCUCUCUCUCUUCCUCCCUCUCUCUCUUUCUUCCCCUCUCUCCCUCUUCCCACCCUCUGGCUCCCUCCCUCUCUCUCUCUUUCUCUCUCUCUCCCCCGCGCGCGUGCGCGCCAGGCGCAGGUCGCUCGCACAUGGCAGGGCACCCUUCCCGACUCUGUCUCUCUCUCUCUCUCCCCCUCUCUCCCUCUCCUCACCACCCCCCGGCUCUGUCUCUCUCUCCCUCCCCCCUCCCUCCUCCCUCCUCCCUUCCCUCCGGCUCUCUCUUUCUCUCCCCCCCUCUCUCUCCCCCUCUUUUUCUCCUUCCCCCCCGGCUCCCUCUCUCUCCCUCGCGCGUGCGCACACGCGUGAGCACGGGAGCUGGCGUGGGGGCGGGCUCCGGCGCUGUCGCAGGCGCGAGUCGAGGGUCGGAGGCGCGGGGCGAGCGCGGGGGCGAGCGCGGGGGUGGAGCGUAAGCGGGAGCGGGCGUGGGGGCGGGCGCGACACGGCGAGACGCGGGCUCUUCGCGGAGCCGGAAAAAAAAGCGGCUCACAGCCGUGGUUUUCACGAGGUCCCUUCGGCCUCGUGUACCACAUGAGAGGGAGGUCCACGGUGGACCUCCUUAUAUGUAUAGAGAGAAUUGAGUUAGAAUACUAUCGAUAGCAAACGAGCUCCGUUGCCACCAAUUUGUUUUCGAUGAUAGAGCCUCCAAAUCGACGAUCGGCACUGUUGAACAUGAUCUAUACCACUUGAAGUGUUUAGAAAUCAAAUUUCAUACAUUUUCGAUAUUGUUCUCUUAUCCAUCGAGUGAACACAAAAAUGAACGGCUGAAACUGAAUAUUCUUUAAAAAAUGAUUAUAGGAGUCGUGCAAUCAAGAUCAAGAGUAUAGAUCUUGUUUUAAAUAGUUUAAAAAAUUUUCAAAUAAAAAUUCAAUUGAUUUGGAUAUCUUUACGCCGUUAAACGAGAAAACGUCUCAUAUCAACCAUUAAAAUUACAAAAUUUAUAAUCCUUUGACCAUUAGGCUAAUGAUGCCGAAAAAUUUAAAAUUUGAUUUUUAAAUACUUCAAGUGGUNAGGGAGAAGUACCCAGAUAGAAUCCCUGUAAGGGUUUUAAUUUUUCCUUUGUUUUGAUCUGCCCUAGGGUUUGUUUCUUGAUUACAUUGUUGUUCAUGUUUGCUGUUAUUGCAGUGAAAUGUUUAGUUCUUGAUUAAUCAGAAGAAGAAAUAAAUCGGUUGCGGCGAGCUUCGCCGGCGCCCGUCCGUGGUCGGAUACCGGCGAUGGUGGCGGCGCAGCUGCUGCUCCGACAGGGCAAGCCCAAGGACGAGAGCCUCGAUCUCUUCUCCGCGAUCCGGUGGAGCGAAUCGCCGACGAUCUCCCCCGCCGUUGCCGGUAACCGGAAAUAAAUUUUCCCCUCCCCCAUUGAUUUCUUCUUUUUUUUUUAGGGAUUUUUAUUUAUUUAUUUAUUUUAUUUGACAGAGGAGGGAGUGUUGGGGAGAAGCAGUGGAGUGGAGGAUGAUGAUCUGUUCUAUGUGUACGUUGGAAAGAGCAAUUACGAUUGGUAAUCAAUAAACCACUUUAAUUUCCUUUUUGUUUUUCCCUUUUUUAUUUUUAAUGUUACAUUUUCUCUCCUUUUUUUUGGUUUAAAAAUUAGCUACACUGUGAAGAUUUUAAAUUAACUUCAAUUUUGGUUAUAUUUCAAUAUCAAAUCAAUUUUGAACCGAGUUGUGCUCUGUUCCAUAUAGAAUGAAAUGGAUGAACCAAAGAGGGGUAAUGUUCUUAAUUAAUUAAUUUUCCCUCUAAUUUUUUUUUACCAAAAAAAUUAUUUAAAAAAUUACUCAAUUUCACUUCCAAUUUUUUUUACAUCAACCGGGCUACUUACACCCCCUGGUACUCCUCUCUUUUCCUCGUGCAAUGGAGUUGAACACCAACCAUCUUCAGCUUCUGCAAAAAGCACUUCAGGAGUUAGAUCAGCUUCAGCUACAAAGCCUUCAAGAGUAUACUCACUUUUUUUUUUUUUUUUUUCUAUGAGUGCUUAAAAAAUAUCAGUAAGUAAUAGUUAGAUAUUUGACAAACAAAAACUAUACAAAUAAUGAAAGUUAAAAAAUUUUUGUUAUGUUUUACGUAUUUGUUUCUGAGUACAUUUUUGUAGUUAUUUGUAGCUGGCGCGGGGGCGGGCUCUGGCACUGGCGCGGGCGCGAGCCGAGGGCUGGAGGCGUGGAGCGAAGGCGGGCGAGGGACCUAGUCCUCUGUCUGUCUCUCUCUUUUUCCCCUCUUUUCUAGCUCUUUUUUUUUUUCUUUCUUUUUUUCGCUAUGGUCCAUGUACAAAAAAAAAUAAAAUUUUAAAUUUAAUUUUAUAACUAAUUUUAAGUUGGGCCCGGCUCCGACUGCGGCGUCCUUCGGCGGGGUCGGCUCCUCCGCGGCGGCGGGGGUGCCAUACUCGACGGCGCUGGAGAGGAGGAACCCGGCGGGGGAGGGGUGACGCGGGAUAAUCGGGGUGCGAGGAGUUGCCGCAGCCGUGGCACGGCUGGGCGCCGACGAUCUGCGGGCAGAAGAGCGGGGCGGAGGCGGGUUCCGGCCAGUAUUUUUUUUUAUCUUACUUUUUCUUUUUUUCUUUAUAAUCAAAUCUAAUUAUUUUCUCUUAUUAUAAAAAUUUUAAAAUAUAUAAUAUUUUCUAUAUAAUUUUUUAAAAAUAAUUUAGAUUAUCUAUACAUAUAUUAAAUGGGGGAUGGAAGGUUCCCUAAAUUUUAUAAUUUUACAAUUAAAAAAUUUAAAAUUGUAGGUUUCAAAUAUUAUAUUUUAAAUUUUAUAACCUUCUCCUCUCUCUUUCACUCGCUCUCUCUCUCUAUCUAAAUUUAAAGUUAAAUGUUUAAAAUUUAAAAGUUUUUAUUAUUUAAAAUGUGUUGGCGGCCGAAAGUCCCGACCCUUAACCCGGUCAAGCGAUUCGGCCGAUGAGGGAUCGAAAUCAGCCAGGUUCGAAGACCUCCACAGUAAAUUCACUUCGGCGGGAUGAGCCGAAUGAGGAGGGGGAAGCCCAGAAUUCGAUUGAGGGAUGAGCUGAAUGACUAAACAACUCGAGAUCUGAUCGGCAAGAAGAGCCGAAAAUGACUUUCUAUUGAAUAGAACAUGGAAGUGAUGCCCGUAGGGCAGAUAGACUCCGAGUAUGCUAAGUUACGAGAACUACUCCUAUAAAAAAGCGGUAAAUGCAGGAAAGAAAGACGCAAGAAAAUAAAAGUGGUCUUUUGUGCGCAGGGGCGAAGACUCUUUUUCAGGGUGCUGUAUCCCUAUUUAUAAAGUUCCCCUUGCGUUCAGUUAUUGUCACUGCACGAUCGGCCACUAUCUCCGGAUUUGGAGGACCACCUUCGGCCGAUUGGAACUGCUCAUAACCGCUUGCGGUUGUUACAACUUUUUGAAUAGACGCGGCUCAUAUCUUCUGGCGCGUCUUAUAUACUCCCGGUCCACCGUUUUGACCUGGAUCACGGAUGUAGUCCCGGCUUGCCAGUUGUCCGCGCCGAAUUAGCCUAACAAAAUGUAAAACGAGUUAUUCGAUACAUAUAAAUCUUUAGAAUUUAGAAAAAUUCGGAUUCAACAAAACUCUAUAUAAAAUCAUAUAUUCAAAAUAUACAAACUGAAUUAAGAUAAAAUGUAUUUUCUAAAAUUUAAAUUUUCAAAUUAUAAAUUUCAAAUUUCAGGAUUUUAACAAAAGAAAGUUAGAAAGUUAAAUUUCAAAUAAAUUACAUAAAUUUUUUGCCGCAAAGUGCGGGCCUACACUAGUUACAUAUAAUUCCCCAAUGCUUGUCCUAUGACUCCUUUCUGGUUGUAAUCAUACAACUAUUUCUAGUAAGGACCACAUUUUCUCGGAUAAUCAAUCGUAUCAUUUUCUUUAUUACGUUAAAAUUUAAAAUUAGUUUCUAAAUUUUAGGGGACAAGAUCACAACUUUUGGAUUAAGGAUUGUACUCCUACAACUCUAUUCUAGCCGUAGACAUAGCAUUUUUUAUAUAAUUCUAAUAGAGAAAUGCGACAACUUUAUCAAUCACGUAAUUGCUUCUCUACUUCUCCACUACUCUUAUCAUUUUUUUUCUUGUUUUUUGUUAUUAAAAUCAAAAAUUAGUUUUUUAAAACCUAAGGGAUUGAAUUAAAAACCCCUAGAUUAAUUAAAGUUUGCAAUCUUACGGCAGCAAUAUUUAAAGACCGCUUUUUCUUCAUUAGUCUUAUUAAUUUUUUUUUGCUUUUUGUUUUUUUUUGUAAACUUAGCGUUUUUUCUAACUUCAACAGAGAGAAAUGCUACUACACCCAAACUUAAGAUUUGUGAAUACUUUUAAAAUAAUGCAGAGGGCAUUGUCAUUCCACUUUCCAGGCUUUCGAGUUAUUUAAUACGUACAUCACAUAGUACCAUACCGUCUUCUUCUUUGUUUCUCGAUCCCCGGAUAGGACUUGCAGCGCGCCCCCUGAUCAGCUAGCCUCCUUUCCUCUUUCAAUUAAACCUACUACUACUACUAUUAUUAUUAUUAUUAUUAUUAUUGUUAUUGUUAUGGCCGCCAACAUUGCCGCAGCAGCACCGCCGCCCUACUACUACCGCAGUACGUCUGCUCUUCCUCAAAAAUCCAAAUGGUGCGGCGCCCGAGGCAACGGUACUAGGGCGGCAAUCACCAGCAGGCACAAGUACGUGACGUUGUGCGUGGCAACGCGGCCGGGCAGAUCAGCGCCGGCGGAAUUCGACCUCGAGGAGUACAUGUCGUGCAAGGCCCGGCGCGUGAACGAGGCCUUGGACAGGGCCGUCCCGCUGCGCCACCCGGAGAAGAUCCACGAGUCCAUGCGCUACUCCCUCCUGGCCGGCGGCAAGCGCGUCCGCCCCGUCCUCGCCAUCGCCGCCUGCGAGCUCGUGGGCGGCACCGAGGACGCCGCCAUGCCCGCGGCCUGCGCCGCCGAGAUGAUCCACACCAUGUCGCUCAUCCACGACGACCUCCCCUGCAUGGACGACGACCGCCUCCGCCGGGGCAAGCCCACCAACCACGUCGCGUUCGGCGAGGACACCGCCGUCCUCGCGGGCGACGCGCUCCUCGCCCUCGCCUUCGAGCACGUCGCCAGGAGCCGGCCCCCCGCCCUCGCCCCCGACCGCCUGCUUCGGGUUCUCUCCGAGCUCGGCUCGGUACGUCAAAUUAAUUAUUAACCUGCAUGCCAUGCCAUGCCAUGCGAUGCGGACUCUAUCUAUCUAUCUAUCUAGACGCUCGAUCCUGCUUAACUAACAAAUCUCGAACUUAAUUGACUUGCAAAUUCGAGGCUGAAAAUUAAAAUUAGAACUCGCCCGUCAACGUACGUCGAGAGACUAUAGCUAGCUAGCUUAUAUAUAUAUAUAUAGGGCCUCCUCCAACUCGAUCGACUAUAUAUAUUUAUAUAUAUAACAAUUUAAUUACACUCCCGAUCGAAGAAUUAAUUAGUAGCUAGUAAAUGCGUACGUAAUUAAUUAAUUGCUUGAUUGAUUGACAGGCGGUGGGCUCCGAGGGGCUGGUGGCGGGACAGAUCGUGGACAUCGCGAGCGAGGGCAAGUCCAUCGACCUGCGCGAGCUCGAAUACAUCCACGUGCACAAGACGGCGAGGCUGCUGGAGGCGGCGGCCGUGUGCGGGGCCAUCGUCGGGGGAGCGGAGGACGGCGCCGUGGAGAGCGUCCGCAAGUACGCGCGCUGCGUGGGGCUGCUGUUUCAGGUGGUGGACGACAUACUCGACGUCACUAAGACGUCCGAGGAGCUCGGGAAGACGGCGGGGAAGGACCUGGCGGCCGACAAGGCCACCUACCCCAAGCUCAUGGGGCUCGGCAGGGCGCGCCAGUUCGCCGCAGAGCUCGUGGGAAAGGCCGAGGAGGAGCUCGCCGGAUUCGACGCCCGCAAGGCGGCGCCGCUCUACCAUCUCGCGCACUUCAUCGCCGACCGCCAGAAUUAAAAAUUUACAUGGACCGAUCGAUAUCUGCAUCUCACUGAUUACUUACUAAUUAAUCAGUGAAUUAAUUAAAUUAGUGCAGCUGCUUAUUUACUUGUAAUAAUUCUGUAGUAAUUACUAUAUAAUUUAUGUACGUACAAUUUUAAUCAUCGUCGAAAUUUGUUGAAGGGGAUAAAUACUAGUGUCCUUUUUUUAAAAAAUCUACAAAUAACUGAUAUUUUUCUUUAUAUUUGAAAAUUUUUAAUUUUUUAAAAUCUUAUAAAAUUUCUCUUCUGUUAACAUUGUCUAUCACUUUUUUUAUUUUUUUUCUUCUUUUCAUUCUCUUUGUCUUCAUUAAUUCUGUAGUAUUUCAUUAAUUCUGUAUAUACUACAUUUAUAGAAAUAAUAAUUCUUGAGUCCCCUCUGGAGCCUCCCCGCGUUUGGCGGAGGGCUACGGCAGGACUCCUAUUUUUUUUUUCGGCUCUCUCUCUCUCUCUCUCUCUCUCUAUGCGCGCGCGGCUCUGUCUCUCUCACUCUCUCUUCCCCUCUCUCCCUCUCACCCACCCCCAGGCCCCCCCAGCUCCCCACCUCUCUCUCUCUCUCUCUCUCUCUCUCUCUCUCUCGUGCGGUGCGACUCGCGCCGGCGGGUGCACGCGCCCAAGGCCCUGCGCGCGACCGCGCCCGGCGGGUGCGCAGAGAGAGAGAAGAGCUCUCUCUCUCCCCCUACCCUUUACCUCUCCCUUCCACACAACACCCCCCCCCCCCGGCCAGGUCUCUCCCUCUCUCUCCCGCCCCCCCUCUUCCCCUCUUUUCCUCUUCCCUCCCCCCCCCACGACUCUCUCCUCUCUCUCUCCAGAGCGGGCGCGCGGCGCGGCGGGCCAGGCGCGGCGGGCGCGACGCGCGCGGCUCAAGCGCCAGCGGGGCGGGCGCGGGCUAAGGCGCCAGCGCGCCGCGGGCGAGCGGGCGCGGGCUCAGGCCCCGGCUCGUCUCUCUCUCUCGUCCUCCUCUCCCCUCUCCCCAACACGAGCGGGCGUGGUCGCCGGCGCCGGAGCGAGGCGGCCGCAGGCACAGGCGUGGUCGCACAUCUAUUCAACCGUUUUUUUUUUUUCUCUUUUCUAACUUUUUUUUAAUUAUUUCUUAUGGCUAUCGAUAAAAAAAAAAUUUAAAAAUAAAAUCUAAAAUUUAAUUUUAAAUUAAAAUUUAAAUCCGAAUCCGAACUCGAAUCCGAUAAAUUUUACAAAUCCAUAUCCAAAUCCGAACCCGAUCAAGACUCCGAAACCCGGUCCCGAAAAUCCUAACUCGCAAUAAUGUUUAAAUAAUUUUUUUAAUUCCUCUCUCUCUUCAAUUUUUUUAAAGCUUAAAAUUUAAAAUUAGAUUUGAAAAUUAAAAAAAUUAAAAUUUUGAAAAUAUUUUAGGCAUUGCGUAAAUUUCUCGCCCCGAAAAUCCUAACCUGAAAUAAUGCUUAAAUAAUUUUUUUAAUUCCUCUCUCUCUUUAAUUUUUUUGAAGCUUAAAAUUUAAAAUUAAAUUUGAAAAUUAAAAAAAAUAAAAAUUUGAAAAUAUUUUAGGCAUUGCGUAAAUUUCUCGCCGCGAAGCGCAGUCUUUACUAGUAUCCAUAAUAAGUCACUUUGUUGCAAGUACACUGACGCUGUAAUUUUAAUCCAAAAUUAUUAAAAGUCUACUAAUUCCUUUUAGUUUUUUGUAAAUAAAAAAAAAAUAAAACAACUGAAAAAAAAAGGGUCACUGAAUUAGGAUUGUAAUAAUAGAAUUAUAAUUCAGAGUUCUAGAUCUAGUAUAAUUUUUUAUAUUCUUGUGGUAUGAUUGCGAAAAUAAGAAUUUAAACAGUUGAGUGAUGAAAAGUUGACGUAAGAGUUUUUUUUUUUUACAAGAUAUUAUAAAUUUAAAAAUUACUAAAUUAUUUUAAAAUUUCAAAAAAUAUUAUCAAUUAUGUAUAAAUUUUUAAAACAAAUAUUUAUGCUUAUUCUAUUAUUAAAAUUUAGGGAGCAGUUUGAUAACGCGUCUUUGCUUGAGAGGCGCAUAUUCCUCUUUCCGGGACAAAAUAACAAGCCGCUUUCGCAAUGAGAAAUUAGUAAUUAAUUAAGAGGACGUCACGGACAUUGAUAAUAAUAACAAGCCGAAAGCCAUUGUAUUCCGAGCGACGGCUUUUUUAUAAGAUAUUGAAAGAACGUUCAAGAAAAAUAAAUGGUUUAUUCCCGGAAAGGAAUUUGCAGAGAUAAUGCAGAUUUUACCUUGCAUUAGCUAGCUAGCUAGCAAGACAAAAAUCGAGUUUGAUAAUAUAAUUGUUAGUUAUAUGCCCAAUGUCAAUCUGGUGACACUAAUUUAAAAAUAUUUUUGUAUUAAUUAUUUAUAAUUCAUAAUAUGAGCGCAGAUAUUCUAUUCAUAUUUAUUAUAUAUAGUAGUGCAAUAUCAACGCGAAUCGUUCAUAGAGUCUUUGUUGGAGAAAAUAUAUUCCUAAGAGAUAGAAAUUUGGAUAUAUUUUUUUCUUUACGAGACUCUUUGAAUGCUCCUAGCCAAAGAAGUAUUAUAGGAACAAUAAUAUUCAGGAUAGGGCGAUGUGCACUAUAUUUCUAAUUGAGGUGACGAAUCUCAAGUGUAGAGACACUAGAGCAAGUAUACAAAUGCUUGAUAGAGAACAAGUACACUAAGCGUAACCAUUUAGUUGAACAACCACAUGAUUUCAUGCUCGCCAGUAUUUAGUUCAUUGCUACAGUUGUGUGAAGCACUUCUCGAACCUGAGACAUCAUAGUUGCUUCACGUAUAGGUUGCUACCGUUUGAUAGUACAAAUAUUUAGACUCUAAACACAGAUCUAUAUUCGGUACUGAUUGGCUAUAGUAAUUUAUACGGUGAGGCUUUCGAAUGCACAAUAAGAAAGCUAACACUCUCAAUAAUGAGGGAGAAAGUCCUAUAUAGUCUAUCGGACUCAACUUGAAAAAUUCCUGGCCAGGGUAUAUGGUACGUAGAAAGAGUUUCCAAUUGUAUUGCCAUAUUAAGUUGAUUUCAGAUAUUUUAGUCAUAUGAUCAAAUGAUAAGCUUUGGCGAGAAAGCAUGAACUUAAUUCGAUUGAUAUAUUAUAUAUUGGAAGGAAUUAAUCACACGGCAACUGUAAGCAGAAGGGUUUAUUCUUUAUCGCCAUUCUGGAUCAUAGUUAGUUAAUUCGCGAAUUAUUCGCGAAUUAUUCGCGAAUUUUUGGAAAUCCGAAUUAAACGGCCAUUUUUGAAUUUUUGGAAAAAAUUCGGAAAAAAACGGAAUUUUUUGACGAAAAAUACGUGUUCGCGUAUUAUUCGGCGGGCCGAAUUAUUCGGCCCAAAAAAACGGAGCAAGCCCGCAGCCCGCAACCCACACGCCUGCCCGCGCGCCUGCCCGCGCCUGCCCGCGCCUGCCCGGGCUCCCGCAUGGGCUCUUGGGCCAGUUGGCCCAAAACAGUAAAAUACAAAGAAAAAAAGUAAAAAUCUUUCCAAAUACCUCGCCUAGAUCAAAAAAAAAGCAUAAAUCUUGAGAGAAAAAAAUUUAAUUUAAUAGCCGAAUUUUUUAUCCCGAAUUUUUAAUUAGUAAACGUAUAAUAUCCGUAUAAAUCAUGUAUCCGAAUAAUUGAUAAAUCCGUUUUUUAGCCGUAUUUUUCAACGAAUUUAAAAAUUCGAAGACGAAUUUUAUUCGAAUUAUAUCCGUACCGAAUUUUUGCCGAAUCCGAAUUAACUAACUAUGUUCUGGAUUGCCUUAAUAUACUGUUAGGUGUCACUUUCGGACGGUGAGGGUAUAUGAAUGAUUCGAAUUGAAUUGUUCUUAUAUAUCAAUUAGAAUUCUAAUUAAAUAUCAAAGAGUUUGAUGUUGAGCUCCACUGCCGAAUGGUAAUGAACCUAUACAGUCACACACAUUAGGAGUUGUAUGCAUCCGUUAAUAUGGAUGAGAGUCGUUUACUAAAGAGAUUAGUAUAAGCAGUGAAGAUAAGAGAAUGCUGCUUAAUUAAAUUAGAUUUAAUUAUUCCACUUAGUAGAUUAGAAUUUCAGAAUCAUGAGUUUGAGAAUUAUGCACAAGUGUUAAAUUUAUCACUAAUUAGAUUAAUAGAUAAUAUUUAAUAAUAAAAUAUUUAAAUGAGGUUUAAAUAUUUAAUAAAUAAUUUUAUUGGAUAAGAAAAAAAUUAGAUAAGAUCUAAUUAAAUAUAGAGAGAUUAAUUUUUAUCUCUAAUUGGAUUUGAGAAUAAUUAAAUAUUUAUAAUAUCCUAUGAGAUAAGAUUUUUAUUAGAUUUGAUUUAGUUGGAUAAGUAUGAAUAUUUAAUGCUAAAGUUUAUUGGAGAGAGAGCAAAUCUUAUUAGAUAAGAUUUUUCAAAAU